rnacentral:lncRNA from 1 species
UUCGUCUAGCUAUUUCCAAUUCUAAUAAAUAACCCGAUCAUAUCAUAUCUUGGAAAACCCUAAGACUACCCAAGGCUGUACCCUACAGUGUUACCUAUAGUCUAUACUUGUGUAUACGUUGCCUUCUGGGGUGGCAAGCUAGAACCAAGUUUUCUAGGUAUCAAUUCCAAUUUAAGUCAAUGAUCCUCAUUUUCUCCAACAUUAAGAAGAUUAUUGGUAAGGUGACCAACCAUCACGCAGGAUUCCGGGUCGGAGUAGCACCUCUUGCCUGAUAUAUACAGGUCGUUACUGGCGAUUCGUUUGUGCCCUAUGGUGUUCAAUUGCCCGUUUGUUCCCUCCCCCUCGGGACGGGUCAACCUACUUUGCCUGCUCAGGCGCUCCAAAAUGCUCUGACUAGACCGCCGACACCCAUGAUUUGUCCAUCAUUCAAAAGGUAGGAGGAAUCAUAGAUCCUCUGUGCACUUUCGCCUAGAGUUAGUUUUAUUUUUCACUACUGUCUGAGUGGUGGCUAAACCCUGAAACUUUUCCUUGAAAUGAAAUAAAGAUCUAACUUUAUUCCAGUAGUGGUUUCUGCAAAUGUAGAUAAUCUUGUUGAUUAACACCCACUUUCCAUACCCUGCAAUUCAGAGGCCAUCACCUCUGGUCUUUUAGUAACAUAUCAGUAAACAAGGCUCUCCUCGUGUAGCUUUUUGUUCUCGAGGAAGAAAAUCUCAUUGAUUACUUAGAAUGCCGGAUGAAGCAAGUUACAGCAUUGGUUCUUUCGUGAUUCACGUAUAUUGGAAAUCUCUUUCUUUAGGAAAUGGGAUGGCAUUCAAUUCUAACUUAGGGAUUCUCUUCUUCCUGAACAUUCAUGAAAAGAAGGACUCUGGCUUUAAUGCUAAAGUUUAGUACUGGGCCGAGCGUACUUACCUACUUAGACAAGAGGGAUACUUAUAGAUCUCUAUGAGCGUAAGGCAAAGUGGGCAAGACUACUUCCACAACUACAUUUUCGCUUAAGCAGGACCUGUGAGACCUCGAAGCAACCGUCUACUACUAGUUAUAUAUGCUAUUUCUAAUUGAAUAGAAUGGAUGCUUCAUAGCGGUUCUGCGACAGGCAGGGCAGCCGGGUGAACAUAGGCAGCUGUUCCUAUAGAACACAAGUCUUUCUCUAAAGCACGACCUUCCGAUUGGACUACGUAUGGUCUCUAUCCUUUUUAUUCCUAAAAUGGGUCCUCGAUCAAAAUGAUCUGGUGUCUAUGUCCAUGCCUGAGGUUGGUAAACCCUAUAUCUAUUGCGGGGUGGUUUGAGGAAGGGACAGCUUGUAACCCACGACUUACUACUACGAAGAUUCUGGCGGAGAGCUUUUCACAUAUAGAUAGGUCGGGAUGAGGAAGCUCCGUAGUCAACUAAUAGAUAGAAAAUCCACCUUGUGAACCGUGUUUGUCUUAAAGUACUGUCUGAGAAGGAAUAUACCUGUUCCAAUCCCUCUAGUGGCUAUACUGAUUGACAUAGGUAGCUUUCGUAGUCAAAGCUCACAGGGCCAAAUGCUCUAUUGGAGUGGGCACGAACACACACAAUCAAGGUUCGAAGAACUUCGGAUUCUAUGACGCUCACUCAAUGGUGUUGUGGCGAUUGCAAGCAAUCAAUAAACGAGGAAGCCAAAUUAUGGAUCCAGGAAGGCUGCAUCAGAAGGAAGAGUAGGUGUUGCUAUGCCGUUGGCUGGGACUGAGACAGAGAGAGGGGAGCAUAGCCCCUAUGAUCCCGGUAAAGAGUUCCAACUAAGCUCUUCUCAGGUUCUUUCUUUCUCUUCCAUUCUUAUGUUUAUAUAUUAAAGUGUUGUUUUCUUACUGAAAUAUAAUAAUAUUAAUCUAAUAUGCCCAUUGGUGUUCCAAAAGUACCUUAACGGAUUCCCGGAGAUGAAGAAGCGACUUGGGUUGACUUAUACAAUGUUAUGUAUCGAGAAAGGACACUUUUUUAGUUCACUGCCCUAUACAUAGAAAGAAGUGCUUUUCCACCGGUAUCAACAUUCCAUCUGGAAUCAGUAGCGAUAAUUGUUGUAUUGUGAGCCAGCCCCGUAAGACACUACGCACCUCCAAAUUCUAUAUGAUUUUUCCAAUCAUUUCAUUUAUACGACCUGCAAAUAAGAUAAGAUCUUGGCUCGCCCUACAAAAAACAACUAUAUGCCCUAUAAACUUGCUUGCUUCUUUGAAUCUCGAAAUAACAUAUAGAAAGUGUUUUUGUGAUGAGACCAUUCUCGAUCGAUAAAUGCGAUAGGAGCCUAUGUGUUUCACGGGCAGCCGGCCAAUAGGGGAAGGUUGUGAAUCCGGCGAACCGACCGCUUUAAGAACGUGAUUCUCUUCUCUCACUCAGUUAUCAAUUGACAAAGAUGACCCAUUCUUUUUCGCCCUAAAAAUGACAAUGGUAUGGUACUUUUUCUUCAAAUCGAGAUUGUGUGGGUGUCCGCUCAUGUUCACGUUACAUGCUAAAUCAGGCUUUCCUUGGAAAAACCAAGGACAACCCCUAUCUCAGUCUCCUUUCCUUUCUCUUUUCGGGAGCAGAGCUUAAAAAGAUGGAGUUACCUGGAGAUGAGAUUUCUUUCUAUGGAUAUGAAGGAUAGAAGAGUGACUUUGUUUUUCACCAAAAUCUAUAUUUGGGUGCGCUUUAUUUUUCCAUUCCAAAUCCAAAAAUUGAUAUUCUAGCUAUGGUUCUCCUUAAUAACGUUAAGAUUGUUACUUCUUCUCUGGAACUUGUUCGAUCCUUUAUUUGCGACGGAAGCACUCAUCUUCGCUUCCUUCUAUAGCGAAGCUAGUGUUACUAUGUUAGGUGGUAUGAAUAUGAUGGGCGAUGACGACCUGUCCCGCGCCAUAGCCUCGUAUCUCCCGCAGGGAGGUCAGGCUCCAGUAAAUAUUCCCGAAGGACGACCGCUUACAGUGGAAGAGGAAGGCCGUCUUGCCCUGGUGUUGGAUUUGCAAAAUCAGAUUGGCACUCUUCUCAAGAAUAUCGAUCUUAACUCGUUCCAGAACCAUCACUUUGAAGAGGAAAGCGCCUCUGAUCUCGCCGCGGCGGCCCUACUCCAUAAAGAAGAAUAUCUCAAUGACCACACAAAGUUAUGGGAAGUGCGUGAAGGGCUUAAUCUUUAUAAAGACAGCUCUAGGUUCUACUUUCGCGUGGUAAAAUGGGUAAAGGUCGAGAGAAAGGUUCGUAGCGGGGCGUUGCCAAGAAUGUUCAUCAUUGAUGAUGACGGUGAGGGAGAAGGAUAGUUACUGGCGUUUAGCUUCAUCUAGAAAGAAAAUCGGCCUUCCACCACUAAAAAGGGUAAUACUCGCUCAAAGUGAUGAAAUCUGUCGAGGAAACAUAAGCAGUUUCCUGUGUAGUGAUCUCUGUUCAUGGAGGUCAUCAGGCCACUGACACCCUUGUGGGUAGGUGGGGGGGGGAGAAGAGUGGGAACAAGGGCUUCUUUCACUUUUUUGUUUUCCUACAACGGUAUCUCCGAACUCAACGGCUCCCACGAUUCGGAGCGAUAGCGAAUUCAUACAAGGACUACUAAGCGAAUAAUUGCAUUCCUUCCAGGAGGUCGAGCGCACGCUUUCCUCGGUUUCGAAUCAAGGGACAAAGAUAGAUCCUCGGUAAUGGCAAAGGGGAUAGCCUUGCUUUUGAACAUUCAUGUGCAUAUAUUUUCAUUAGAUGUGCAAUCGAAAUCAGUAGGAGAGAAACUUUCAUCCCUAUAUUUCCACUUAAAUGGAAUUAGCGAUACCUUUGCUUUUAGUUUGAAUUCAUGAAUCCUGUUUCUAGUGGCGAGUAACUACUACGAAAGGUACGGAAAACGGGAAAGGAAAAGCACAGGAAAGAAGAAUAUAUUCAAUAAUGUCAUCCUUGUUUCGGUACCGGAUUCAACUUGUCGAGGCUUCUGCUCGUAACGUCACUCACUGGAUCAAAUCAAAGGGCUCGGUUUCUGCUCCUCGGCAAAGACAACGUAAAUUCAAUAGGAAUCCAAAUCCUAAAAGGCAAGACCCAAACCACCGGUCGAUCAACAAUUCUUCUUUCACUUCCAUCUCUUGAUACCUGUUUUCUUGCUUUUCUUACCACUGCUGUAGUGAACCGCAUCUCUAAGCACCGGGAGUCGUAAACCGCGCACAAGGUCCUUCUUAAACUAGAAAUAAGUGAAAUAAUUGUUCUGGGUCACCUUGGCUUUUGUGUUCAGUAGUUAGUAGGGGAAGUUGCUCGGCUUGGUAUCUCUCUUCCCUGUAGAAAACCAAUCACAAGUCCCUCCUUAUUUUCACUCCAAAAAGCUGGAAAAAAAGAGCAAAUCUCGGAUAGCCUAACUUGUUUUUUGCCCUGGAAAAGGCAGCUACUAUCCCUGCUGGAUUUCCAGAAAACGGAAUGUACCUAGGGAACCCUAUUGAUCAGAUCAGAGACUGAACCUAGUGAUCUUUCUCCUGCUGGCAAGCAUCGAUACCUGUCUCCUAAUGAAUUGAUCUUCUCUUGGGCUCUGAUUCACACAAUCGAAAAGCCCUUGUGAUGUGGGUCACCCUUUUCCUCUAUACAUCUGUUCAGCAAAGGGGGCUUGCUAUUCUCUGCAAUUGAAGGUUGGGCCUACAUAUCUCUUAUUUGUGUGGAUCAACCAUCCAACCUUUCUUCUUUCUUUCCAUAAAAGCGUAGGUAGAAUGCGUAUAGUAAUGGUAGAGCUGAUGUAUGGCUAAGCAGGGCCGAUGGAGCUCUUGGAAAGAAGUCAGUAUCCAGCUUAUCCCUAGUCUAGCACUCUGCUGUGAAGUCAGAAACCCAUUAACAAGCAAGUCUGUAGUGAACCUCUUCCUUAAGGGAUUGUGGAAUGCACACAUCCUGGAAUACAGUUGGGUGAUCCAUUAAGCUAAGCAAGAGCUAUGAACAACCUAGUGACGCGGUGGCAAGCAUCAAUACGAGGAAGGUGAUAGAUCAGAUACGAUUUCCUUCAUAGGAUACUCUUUUUCCUUCGGAUUGUGGAAUGAUAGGAAGGGCCUAAUAGUAGUGAUUUAGUGCAAUGUGAGGUGCCCCGCGCGUGAGACUUUCUGAGGUUAAGAAAAUAAUAAUAGGGCGGAUUUCUUAGACUCGGCUCUAUAGCACUCUUUGAGUAAGUUCGUUAACGAGGUAGCAGUUCUACACGAAUGAAAACAGACCUAUCUUCUCUUUCUUGGGCGGGGCACCAAAUUCAUGUAUCUUUACCAAUUAACCAAUUUCUUGACGCUGGGGUGGAUCCUAAAGAGAUACCACUUCCUCAUGAAUUUAUCUUGAAUCGAGACCUUUUGGCUCAACUUUAUCCUAGUUUUGCCGAAGGAGCAACCCCUUUUUUCACUUUAAAUUGGUCCAAAUACGCAGAAUUUCUGACUUUUCGCGGAGGACUAAAUCCAGUAACCGGUGGUCUCUGGCUGACCGAUAUUGCACACCAUCAUUUAGCUAUUGCUAUUCUUUUCCUAAUCGCAGGUCAUAUGUAUAGGACCAAUUGGGGUAUUGGCCAUGGACUUAAAGAUAUUUUGGAGGCUCACAAGGGCCCAUUUACAGGACAAGGCCAUAAGGGUCUUUAUGAAAUCUUAACAACGUCAUGGCAUGCUCAAUUAUCUCUUAACCUAGCGAUGCUAGGCUCUACAACCAUUGUUGUAGCUCAUCAUAUGUAUUCUAUGCCUCCCUAUCCAUACCUAGCUACUGACUAUGGUACACAACUUUCCUUGUUCACACACCACAUGUGGAUUGGCGGAUUUUUAAUAGUCAGUGCUGCUGCACAUGCAGCAAUUUUUAUGGUAAGAGACUAUGAUCCAACUACUCGAUACAACAAUCUAUUAGAUCGCGUCCUUAGACACCGCGAUGCAAUCAUAUCCCACCUUAACUGGGUAUGAAUAUUUCUAGGUUUUCACAGUUUUGGCUUGUACAUUCAUAAUGAUACCAUGAGUGCUUUAGGCCGUCCACAAGAUAUGUUUUCGGAUACUGCCAUACAAUUACAACCUAUCUUUGCUCAAUGGGUACAAAAUAUCCAUGCUACUGCGCCUGGCGUAACAGCUCCUGGUGCAACAACAAGUACUAGCUUAGCGUGUGGAGGCGGCGAGUUAGUAGCAGUAGGUGGCAAAGUGGCUUUGUUACCUAUUCCAUUAGGAACCGCAGAUUUUUUAGUCCAUCACAUUCAUGCAUUUACCAUACAUGUGACUGUAUUAAUACUUUUGAAAGGUGUUUUAUUUGCUCGGAGUUCCCGUUUGAUACCCGAUAAAGCAAAUCUAGGUUUUCGCUUUCCUUGCGAUGGGCCUGGCCGAGGGGGAACAUGUCAAGUAUCCGCCUGGGAUCAUGUUUUCUUAGGUUUAUUCUGGAUGUACAAUGCAAUUUCGGUAGUCAUUUUCCAUUUCAGUUGGAAAAUGCAGUCGGAUGUUUGGGGUACUAUAAGUGAUCAAGGGGUGGCAACUCAUAUUACAGGGGGAAACUUUGCACAGAGUUCCAUUACGAUUAAUGGGUGGCUUUGAGAUUUCUUGUGGGCACAGGCAUCGCAAGUCAUUCAUAUACUUAUGGUUCUUCAUUAUCUGCAUAUGGUGUUUUUUUCUUAGGUGCUCAUUUUGUCUGGGCCUUCAGUUUAAUGUUUUUAUUCAGCGGCCGUGGUUAUUGGCAAGAACUCAUUGAAUCUAUCGUUUGGGCUCAUAACAAAUUCAAAGUUGCUCCUGCUACUCAGCCUAGAGCCUUGAGCAUUAUACAAGGACGUGUUGUAGGAGUAACCCAUUACCUUCUGGGUGGAAUUGCCACGACAUGGGCAUUAUUCUUAGCGAGAAUUAUUGCAGUAGGAUAGUGGCUAGGAGGAUUUGAAAGGCAUUAUGGAAUUAAGAUUUCCCAGGUUUAGCCAAGGCUUAGCUCAGGACCCCACUACUCGUCGUAUUUGGUUUGGUAUUUCUACCACACAUGAUUUCAAAAGUCAUGAUGAUAUUACUAAGGAACGUCUUUAUCAGAACAUUUUUGCUUCUCACUUUGGGCAGUUAGCAAUAAUCUUUCUAUGGACGUCCGGAAAUCUGUUUCAUGUAGCUUGGCAAGGCUGGAUACAGGAUCCUUUACACGUAAGACCUAUUGCUCAUGCCAUUUGGGAUCCUCAUUUUGGCCAACCCGCCGUGGAAGCCUUUACUCGAUGAGUUGGCUGUCUGCCAUAAUCUUGUUGUCUUCUUCUUUCCCUAACCUUAUCUUAGCCUUAGGCGCCUCUCGGAAACUUCAUAAUCUGAAUCACUUUCCUCUCCGGGUAGUAACCAUAACUUUAACUAGGAACUCAGCAUUAUAGGACCGAGUCUUCUUUAGUAGUAGCUGUCUGAGUUUUUCCACUUUCCCCGAUCUCCGCCACUUCAUCCGUUGUGGCCCGUAAUGUCAUAGCUUUCAGGGUUGGGUUCUGAUAGAACUCUAUCCAUAGAGACCUCCUCCAUUUGCUCGUAUAUAGCACUUAGAAGAGUGACUUCUCCCCGAUAAGGGUUUAGAGUAUAGAGAGGAUGCCUUUCUAUAAAUAAUAGUAAUAGUAAAAGACAGAAAGCAAAGACUAGAUUAGAUGUCCGGCAUUUCUUUUUGAUCGAGUUUUUCGAAGAUUGAUUGGACUUGAAUUCCCACUUGAUUGCUUUUUCUCUCUCCUCAUGUUUUGCUAAUAGUUUUUAUCAACAUGGAGAUACGAAAGUAGAGAACGCAUUGCAUUCAAUGUGAUUUCCGCUGCCUUGCUUCGAUUUCAUGCAUUUAAAGGCAGGGUUGAGCAACCAAUCAUAAGCCAGCGAGGAUGCAUUUCCCGUGCCCCUAUUUAGUUAGUACUUUCGAGUUAAGAGCGAGAAAACGAACUAUUUCAUUUAUUAAAAAAAGUGCAACAGCUGUAGGGUGAAAAGGCCAUGAGGAUGGCUACGGCUUUGAAGCUCCUUUAUCUACCAUAGAUAGAAUGGAAGAGUUUUUUCUCACUGUUGUUUCUGAUGUAGGAGUUGGGGAUGGAAUGAUUGAUUCAAGCUUUGGUGGUACUAAUCAUGUCUCUAGGAGUAAACCAACUGGAGAGGCAAGGGAACAUGUAGUACUGGAGAGGGGAUCUCAUAGCAAUACUGAUUCAAGUAAUUUCAGAGUUACCAGAGAUGCAAUUGGUUUAGAAAUAUGUACUAGAAAAUGGUAAACUAAUACUGACUAUUCUCUGUGGAUAUCUGGUUGGACACCAAGCAUUUUGACCCCUAUUUGAAUGUAGAGUCAGAGUAUAGAUAGCUAAACAAUGUUGUAAUAUAUUUAUCUACCAAAUUAGAGUGCACAGUCAUUUUUCUAUUGAUGUUCCCAGAAAUGCAGUUCACUAGGGAACACCUUACAGGUUGGUCAUGGGUAUGGGUAUGCGCCAUACCCCUCAGUAUGGAGUACAUUGGGUCAGGAUUGGAUAGCAAGAGUUGUCGGUAGCCGGCAUUAGGUAAAAGGAAAAGCUCUAUAAAAGCGAAGAAAUGAAAUCGAAGGCUGAUAGUAAAGCUGGGGCGGAUUUUGAGUCGACCAGUUCGCUGAGGGCAAGAUUGGAAAGAGUGGUAGAUGAUAUUAGGUACUCUGUAUGAAGCGAGGCGUGCGAAAAGAAAUAGCAACGGGAAGAAGAUGAUUUUAAUGGUAAGGUAUCUUUAUCUCGAGACGAAUCGCGCGAGAUUCCAGAUGAUGCGGAGCAAAGCGGAACCAAUUGUAUGGGCACAAGAGGAAAAUAACUAGUUCUCUGAAUUUUUCUCAUGCGAACGAGAAGAGAAUUGCAGAGGAGAAUAGAGCUCAGCAGAAUAAGGUGAGGGAAAAAUUAUGAUGGACUCUCAAAUUGUGGUGACUACACUCAGGUAGGCCACAUCGCCUCAAUACUACUGCCCGUUGGAUGCAUCAAAUUGGUUUCGCAGAUCUCGCCUCGCACUCGCUUAGAGGUCAUGUCCUUUCCCUUCUCUUGCUCUUGCGGCGGACACAGUGAUUCUUCGUUCUCUGGUUGAUGGCUUUCAAAAGUCAAUUCCAGAAAGAGCCAUUUGAUCCCCAUCAAAGUCUGCAUUGAAACCCUUACACACUAAUAUACUUGAUACUCGAUCUAUUUCACCAUACUUCUACUUCCUGACAUUAAGAAAGUUUAAAACAAGGUCCUUCAAGAAGAAAGGAAGCACAUGCUUGAGACCAUUACGAUUCCUGUUAGUGAUGGUGCACUUGCAGCUAAUGUUAGCUGUAUUCAGUCUCUGAGUGGUCUACCUGUUGCUGCAUCAUAACCGGCCGACUCCUCUAUUGGUUGCUGCUGGUUUAUACCUGCAUUCCAAUCCGGUUUGAUUUAGAGAGAAAUCUCAAUCCAGCCUCAAUAUUUUGGAUUGAUCAGACCGCCUAUUGUAGAAGAGAUUGCUUGCUAAAAAUAGUACCGCAUUUGUGCUUAAGAAAAGGCUUUCUUGUCCGGGGUCUAUAUCAACUUUUAAUACACCACGCACCCCACUACCAAAAACUUCUCUUUCAAUUCUAAACAAAUAGAAAGCUCAGGCGGCUGCUCAACGAGGAGGUUCAUGCUCGUUAACUUACACUUACUUUUAGCACUUCUCUACCAGUUCUCUCUCAUAGAUAAGAAUAUCCUGCUCUUAGCACCGGUUUUCACUUCGUGUAGCAGCUUCUUCUUCUUUUGUCUACUCAAACACUUCAUCCAUGAGAACCCAGUUUUGAUCAAUGAUAUAUUCAAAAAGUAAGAGCUACUCUAUUAAUCUACAUACCUUGUCUCCGGCCACCAUGUUUUCUCCGAAGGGUGAAGGCGGAUUCUCUGAACUUAAAAUAAGGGCGAAGGAUACAUACAAUAUGCCGGGUCUAAAGUGAAGUAGUACAGACACAGGAAAUCAGAGAAAAACUUAGAGAGUCUCCAUAAUCUAGACUUCUCGGUUUCUUAAUCGGUGUCUAUCUUACUAAGAUACUGGUGCAGCUUAAGGUGCUGGUGCUCCACCCCGCUCUAAGAAGUAUGACUGUGAUUUGCCAAUACCCAAAUGGGUAGUGUACUGCUCGCUCCCCUUCUUCUUAAUUCAUACUUGUUUGCACACACAACCUUCCUAUAACUUUCUGACCUGGAUCCAACCAAAGAAGGAAGAUGUAUGGCCUCCCUCGAACAAAAGAAGGAAGUAUGGGAGUUUACCGGUAGGCAAUGACCACAUCCAAAGUAAAGUGCUCAGCUCAAAGAAAGAAGGUGGUGGGGGCUUCGAAGAGUGAAUAAGUUCGUUCACAGUGAUGUGUAAUCUCUUCAAAUCGAGAGAAGAGGUGUAGGCAGGCUUACUUGCUUAGUAUGUAUUUUUUAUACAAUCAAAGACCAAGGUCGUACGGAUAGCAAUUCUGGACCAUAGGCAUAGCAGCACAUAGGUAUUCUCUCUUCUUUCUCAAUUCAGAGAGGACACUAUCUUAAUUCUUGUGAAAAGGCAGAAGCAAGUGAAAGGGCAGUAGUAUUAUAUGAGUUCUAAAAAGAAGGGCGAAAAAAGUCAUGUAUGAUAGUGGUAAAAAGCCUUCAAUAGAAGGGAAUAGCAACCUGACUAGAAAUUCAUAGCUGACUAGCGUACGAACGAGUUGGUCAGGCUAUGAAUGAAGGCUACUACUCUUCAGGAAGAAGGUACUAAUAGCUCGCUCAGAGGUUCAGUCAAGCUCCUCACUCUUGGUCUGGCGGGGCAUAUUAGAUAUAGUAGUGGUGUUUUGAAAGCUUCUUAUUUUUUCUAAUACUAUAGUAGGAGUAGGUCAGGUACAUCUUCUUAUACUAGGGAUGCUUUUUUGAAUCAUUGAAAAAGCUUUCAAUAGUCUUAGUAAGUUUCAGAAAGGAGAAUACCAAGGUUGAAUCAAAGAUAAAAGUCAAGCAGGUCACACCGCCGAUGAGUUGUGUAGGAAGGAUUGCUUGUCAAGCUCUUGCGGAAUUUGGACUUAUUAUUUUGACUUAUGGCUCUGAGAAAAACCCUUUUCUAGAUUAGGCUUUUAGAUCUACGAAUUACGAGAGAGAUCUCCGAAAGUAUAAGCGAGAUGCUCUUACACCAGAAAGAUAGUAUAAGCUAGUUCUCACUAGCCGGGCCCUUACUCCUACUACUCACUAGCUGAGCCCUUACUCCCAUCUACUACUUCUUAUUAAAGCUGCAAGUGCAGAGGGGAAUUUCGCAAGCUAGGAGGAAUAGAAAAUCCUAACUAAGAAACAAUCAAUCAAUCCACUAAGUCUAUUAAGUAAGAGUUAUACGAAAUACUCUGAUUCAAUGUACGAGUGACUCAAUCCCAAAGGUCAAUCCAGCCAGCCGAUUUUCAACAACAAAGGAGUUCACCGUGGAAAGAUAAAGUCUAAUGACAGACACUGGUAAUUCUCUCACUGGGCCGGCCACUAGAAUCAGUCAAUGAAAAAGCAAGCAAGGAGAUGUCCUCACUGGACAUUUAUCCUAUUUGUGAAAUCCUUUCUAUGUUUCUGAGACCCGGAAACCUGUCAAGUAAGUAGGGAUUUCUUUAUCCCCAUCCAUGGUUUCUUUUACUUUUUGAUAGGCGUCCGGCGCAUGCAUACAACCAUUCCUUCUUCUCCUCGAAAUGUCAGGUCGGUCGGAAAGAAAGCGCGGUGUAGCUGGCAUCAACAUCUCUUGUUAGGUUCGCACGCACAAGGGUGGUGGGUAGGUCUCUUUACAUGUCCCGCGAGGCAAGGAAUUCUUCGACCAAUGAUAUCAUGGUAUCAGAGUCACCGAUCGAGAUUUCUCAUGGCUACCCAUUAUUUUCGCUUGAAAGAUCUUCACAUGUAGGCGGAGCCGUCCCUUUUGAAAAGUGGAUCUUUAGUCCAUUCAUUCUAAGUACUUUAUUAUUUAUUCUGUAGAAUAAGAAGGUUUCACAGGCAUGUGCUUCAUGGCGACAAGUCGUAAAGCAUGGAUAGGUGGAAAUGCGCUAUAAAGAUUCGGCAUCGCUCGAUCAAACAAAGGGAAAAAUCAUCAAGAAUCUGAUCUUGCUCUGAAUCAUCUACCAAGGGUUCACUGUCAAUGCAAUUUGAGUUGGCCAACUCCGGUGCCUCUAAGUCAGAAGUAUCUCUAUUGGCAAGCUCUCAUUGACAUAAUCCGGGGUAGGUGUAGGGAGCUGACUCUCAUGUGGAUCAAGAAAUAUCUCCGUAGUGCUCAGGACAGGCCGUGAGCAUCUUAUCUGCUUGGAUCAGGUAACAGCUUCAUUUCUUUUCAGAAGCUCAAACACAGCGUUUUCCAAUAUAGAAGCGGAGUAGUUCUUGUGCAAUCUAGGCAUAGGGCUACUAGAAUCCAUCACUAAAAGAGGAGUAUUCCGAGCUCUAUCGACACAAUAGGACUCUAGAUAUUGGCAACAAAAGGGCACUUACCCCUAAACUAGAUUACUCUUCUUCUUCCUAUGAUAAAGCGGGGGCUGAAAGGGACUCUUUAAAGUACUUCAACGUUAUCACUGGACUUUCGUGUCAAUAGAAAGAGAAGGUAUUUAAGCAAUGUGUGUUUUGAGAUACAAUCAAUCGAAGAGAAUAAAACUGGGUCCAAUAAAAAACAGGAAUGAAUUUAUUCAAAGGGAUUGGAAAGGGAUAAGUACAAAGGGAUUCAACGAUCUAAAAAAAUAAAAAAGGGUUUCAUAAUCCCCUCCUACGAAUAAAAAUUAGUAAAAUAAUGUGGAUGAAUAAGAUUUUGCUCUAUUUUGGAUCGGAUUUGGCGGCAUGGCCAAGCGGUAAGGCAGGGGACUGCAAAUCCUUUAUCCCCAGUUCAAAUCUGGGUGUUGCCUGACCAAAAAAAUACUUAGGAUUUCUUAUUGUACUGAUUGAACUCGACAAAUUCUUGCCCUGCAUAACCAAAGGAAAAGAACUAGGCCUGUCGAUACUGGAUUUUACCAUAGUUAUAGUUCUAAAAAAGACUGUCAAUUUCUUCUUAAAAAUAGGGCUCUGGUAGGGUUCUGGGUAGUGGCCCAAACCGAUACCAAUAGGGAUGAGGGAUAUAUACUUAUGAAUUUCAUAAUUGAUUCUAUUACGCAAUUCAUAACUACGAAAGUAAGAGGUUGGAAAUCUUUUUAUCCAAAGGUCCCUAAAGGACAUUCCUUUUUUGCUCCUAGGAUUGAAGAAGAGAUUAUACGAAAGACUAUCAAGACUUCCUAAUUAUCUAACACUACCUACACUAAAGUAAGGUCUACUGACUCUGUCUGGAAUUAGAUUGGAUAGGCUGAUGGGAAAUUUAGGAGUUGUGGAAAGAAGAGACUUUCUUUCCAUACUUACGAGAGACUCCGAGUACUCAAACAUUCAAUCAGGAUGGUCGGUUAGCUCUUAUCUUUUAGAAUAACUUAGUAAAAAAAGUAAAAGUAAUAAAGAAAAUGAAUCUCCUAACUCGGUAGCCCAUGAGGUUCCAAUGGUUAGUUUUGGAUUUUUUCAGGCAAGAAAGCAAAGAAGAAGGGAGGAUUCUCUAUUACCAACUUCCCCCAUUAUCCUGUCCUCAUUGGUCAUUCAUCUUUCCCGAUCUAGUGCCAUCGUUCUUCAAGGUGCCGGAGGGUUUGAAGCAUACCUACUACCCCUUCCCUUAGCUUAGUUCAGAGUUGCCUCAGCGCGCUCGAGUAAUAACUGGGAAAAUCAAGGCUGGACAGGUCUUCGAGCCAACUUCAGGAAGAAAUGCAAGUGAAAGAGAAUGCUCUCGAGGGCGCAGGAGUCUUUUUCUGUCUUUCUUAUUUGAAAUCCAAAUCGAAAUGCCUCAACUUGAUAAAUUAACUUAUUUCUCACAAUUCUUCUGGUUAUGUCUUCUCCUCUUUGUUGGAAGAUGAGUACACAUCGGGUAAUCCGCCCACGAGAGCCCAAUCACAAGAGGCUCAUACAGAAAGCAAUCAGCCCACAACCCAAUAUCGAGACCACAGCCUAUUAUUCAAACCACAAAGGAUCCGUCUUUCAUCGUCCAAUCUUCUCGAUCGAACAUAUUGACAUCAAUACUCCUUUCCAUGGCCAUUCACGGCCCGCGAAGAUCAACCACUCGUGCCCGAGAUCACUAUCCAAUCAAAAACCAGACUUCCAAGAUCCAUCUCACUCAGACCCUUUUGAAUGUAGCAGAUAACAACGGAGUGGGGCUAUCGAAUUGAUAUGUAUUCGAAUCUUAGGAGCUGGUAAUCACUGAUAUGCUCAUAUUGGUGACGUUAUUGUUGCUGUAAUCAAAGAAGCAGUGCCCAAAAUGCCUCUAGAAAGAUCAGACAGAAGUAAGACGAGUUGUAAUUGUACGUACAUGUAAAGAACUCAAACGUGACAACAGUAUGAUAAUACGAUCUGAUGACGGUUGUCAUUGAUCAAGAAGGAAAUCCAAAAGGAACUCGAGUUUUUGGUGCGAUCGCUCGGGAAUUGAGACUUAUGAAUUUCACUAAAAGAGUCUCAUGAGCUCCUGAGGUAUUAAAAAUACUAGUAGUAGAGACUAUGAUAUAGUAGGGUAUCAGAAUAUAGAUCAAUUAGUAGAUUGUGUCUAACGCAUAUACAUGAAAAAAAAGAAUAAUUAGAUAAUAAUAAGAAUAAGAAUUCGAAUCUUAAUAAAAGGAAGGGUUCGAAUAGCAUAUACUAAUAUUACCGAAAACUUUGUGAAAAUACUUCUACGAGAAGGUUUUAUUGAAAACGUUCGAAAACCAUAGGGAAAGUAACAAAUCUUUCUUGGCACGUGCCCCUGCUCCUGGUCUUCGAACUAGUCAUUAAUGGUCGGCAACAUAGGUACCCUUUUUCGGUAUGCAUUGCGAACACUUUCAUUUUUAGCGUCUCAUCUUCUCUAGAGAAGCUCAAAUCGAACGGAAAGAGCAGAUGGUCCAACUACAGAACUUCUUUUUCAUUACUUCCAUGGUCGUGCCCCGUGGCACGGCAGCACCCAUACUAUUGAAAUGGUUCAUCAGUAGAGAUGUUCCCACUGGUGCCUCUUCUCCCAAUGGUACUAUAAUUCCUAUUCCUAUCCCUUUAUUCCCUUUUUGGUCUAUCUACAUUUAAGGAAAUUCAUAUGCUCCAUGGACAGAGCAAAAAGUGGAGUGUUGGUUAAAGCAAGCCGCCCUAUUCUAUUACCAGACAAAAUGGAGAGAAGCUCAUCCGCUAGAAAUGCUUUAUUUCGUUUCGUUCCCGUUCUUCAUUUCCUUAUUAUCGAAUCCAUGGGGGACUUGUCAUAUUUAGAAUCUUUCUGCGGUCUGUUCUGUUUACAAUUCUUUCGUACUCUCUUAUCUUUACCACGCGAUAGGUCAGCGAAGCGUGAGCGGGCGCUCCGAAGUAAAGGCCAAACACUUCGGCCUAAGGGGAAUGAGCAACAAAAUGACAAGAUGAGGUGCCCCGGGCACCCCCAUAUAGAAAGAAGGGUCGAAGGUUUUGGGCCUGUAGCUUUCCCCGCCCCCCCCUCGUCGAGUGGUGCUUGUUUGGGGGGUGUGCCACUAGAAAGCGGGCUUGAAGCUCUCGCCUUACCAACGAGUCGACUGCUGAUGGCUGUUGGUCACGACUACUACAAAAAACUGAAGAUGAAUCUUUCUAUUUCACAUGGAGGAGUGUGCAUCUUUAUGUUGGGUGUUCUUCUGUCGUGCAACCCGAUGGCUUAUGUGCGACCUGUGGCCCACGCCUCCUAUUCUAUUUGUUCAGGGCGGGCGGCGUGAACUCUGAUUCCCGGGUAUUCAAUCCCACCGCUGAGAUGCUCAGUUGACUCCUUAACCUUGAUAGGAAGAUGGCUUAUUCCAAAAUUCGUGCAUAAGGGUAAGGAACUUUGGAUGAAUUAAUGCGAAUGGGUGUAAGCCUCGCUGCUCGGAAACACCCAGUGCUGACCACACUGAGAGACACGAAAGCGCAGGUAAUGCCAGUUGGCAAAGUGGCGUUAAGCAUCCCUAGCGGUACGCAAAGAGAGGUCGUGAUGAUAUCAUCUACGUCAGUACUGCUCCUCGUGGAGUAGAUCCCGCAUCCAACCAACCCUUUUUUGACCAAGGAACGAGAGAAUUCCCACUACCGCUGGCAGGCCAUCCGGGCCGUGAGCGCGGUGGGAACGGGCUUCCCAAAAAGCGAGCCCCGGCCCGGGUCAGCAUAGAAUGGGGGGGACGGCCCUAAUGUUGUGUUGGCCGGGUUGCGGGCGGAUAAAAGCGGACGUGGGGACUCGAGUCGGGGCACAGCAUAACUAAGAGAGCCAUUCCAUUUAGGGCGAGACAGAAUGGGCGGGCACAAGUGGUCUGGUGUCCGAGCCGAUUGGUCAGACGACGACUACUGCACAUAUUAGAUUCUAUUAGCCGCCUAUCCCGGAAUGGACUGGGAUGGAAUAGAAAGAACGCGAAGCAGCAAGCAAGGGAUGAGCGCUUUGUUGCUAAAGCGCAUACGUUUUCUUGCUGGGUCGGUUUGUUUUUGGGGCGUGGGGCAAUAAGCUUGCUUCUUCACAAGGUUAUCCCCGCCCCCUUUCCUGUCCGUCCCGAUCGGAAGCAGUUGGGUCUCCCCAUCUCUCCUCAACUUCCCCGGUCUUCGGCCCGAGCUGUAUGAGGCAGAAACUCGUCCCACGUACGGUUCGGAGGCCGAGCCCCACCCCUGCAAUAAUGGUGCGGCUUAGGUCAACUAAUACGAAUAAGAUACAGUUCACUCAACGAUUGCCCUUGGGUCCCGAACUCCAUAUGGGGAAGGAACAUUGUUGUUUGCGAGGUCUCGAUCAUUUACAUGGACCCACUUCUCAUUCCAUUUGUGGGAAUUUGAUGAUUUAUAAACCGUCCCCAACGAGCGAAAGGUUCAUGUUUGAACAUGAUGAAUCACUUCGUGCCGACCUGUUGCCCAUAAACUUUCCUGCCUCAUAUGAGAAUGGAAAACUGGAAGAUUUUCUGCAUCGGUGGAUGAAGAAUCACGAACAUAAGAAUUUCUGGUUUAGCAUGUUCCCAGAAAGAAGAUACUUCUUUUCCAUUCAAGAAACGAGGAGCACGACUGAAGUGGCUAUACAUACAAAUCCAUUUACGGAUCUAUAUGCUCCGAUUGGAACUGAAAGUUCCAGAACUGGCGGCUGGUAUACCACCACAAUUAAAUUGCCUUUUAUUUUUAGUAUUCGGAUAGGAUUUCUGUUGGCUUCAUCGGGAGGCUCGCGUAGUUUGUUACGUCAACUCCUAAAGGAUAAGUUGCAUUGGAAUCGAGAAAGUUUCGUUCAUAAUUGCAUAAAAGGAGUAAAAAUAGUGGCUGCGGCGCGUCGAGGGUCAACCUUUGAUAUCGAAUAACCUUUCGAGCCUUCCCCAAUGGAUCUCUAUACUCCUUUGAAACCAAUAGAAGUUCACUGACCAUCCCUAUCAAACAUAACCCAAGGUAGGACCAAGAGGAGAAGAAUAGGACUCUUGCUAGUAUCAUAACCUCUCGAUGGGAGAAUGAAACCAUUAGAUUAGUGGAAAGAAGAAAGAAUGGGAAGAAACCAGCCAACUUACCAAGAGGAAGAAAUGAUGACCACUUUUUGUAUUAUCUCGAAAGUUUUCAUUGGAUCUAGAAGUAAUCACAACGUCACUUUUCUUAGGAGAUUUCAUGGUAGUUUUUGGAAACUUAUUGAUUAAUGAGGUCAAGAGACUCUAUAAUUCGAAUGAUAUGUGGAGAGAGCGGGGCGUCUUACCCGCAUCAAUCGAUACCAUGGUGUCGCAUAUACACGAAGGUUAUUCUUCAUUUCAUCCCAAAUUGGUAUACAAAACCUAUAAAUAUGGUAGGGGUGGUAUGACUUUGCAGGAACAUUUCACUCUGGAAAGGCAAGAUGAGCUUGGCUAUUUAAGUGCCAGGCGCCCACUCAUCAAUGCUGGUGAUUGGCCUUGUAUGGCUACGCCAUCUCUUCCAAUAGAUGUACUACUUUUGAAAGCGUUAGCUAAUAUCUUAAUGUGGGAGUUUCUAGUGAUAAGAAACAAUCUUCCGUCUAGAUUAUUUUAUUAUAAUGAAAUGUUGGAUUACCACCAAAGGUUCUGGCAUGGUCAAAGUGGUGUAGAGAAAAUAGUCUGUGUGGAUUUCAGUCAUAGUAUCCGGUAUGUUUCUACUCCACGUCUAUGGAAUACCUUAAAGUGUCUACACAAUCUGGGUGUGAUUUCCCACAUCUUAAAGGAAUUUCUAUCUCUCCCGAUAUAUAAUGCUGCCACUAACCUCCAAAUUCCUCAUUCGAAUUGUAUACCAUUGAUAGGUGAAUUGAGCGACGUGCUCCUACAUCUCUUUUUGCAACAUCAAUUCGAUAGGGAGGUCCUAAGCCAGUAUGAAGGUGUUCUUUAUACAAGAUGGGACACCAAUGUCCUUCUAGCUUCAACACGCUAUGAUUCAUAUCAGCUUGACCGUCCUCAAAUUCUGGACAUCUUAAGGCACGUAAAUCUAAGUGGAUUUAUUUCCGUGAUCGAACGUGGUGGCGGGGGCAUGCACGUGAACCCUGAGAAAUCUCAGAUAUUCCUCAGUGCAGAUGGUGAUGUUAGUAUCCCUCAACUAAGCGAAGGUGAGACUGACUAUGAUAGUGAAUGAUUCCGGGGAAUUGGAUAGAGUAACCUAUUCAUAAUAAUGAUGAGUAUCCCCGGGGGCAUGUCCUACUUUGUGAAGUAAGGUUCAAAGAAAGGGAGAGAAGAGAUAGAUGGAUCUGAACCUGGAAUCAAAGGGAUCUGCGAAAGGGAUUUUGAAGAAUCUUAUGUCCUUGAGAAAAGUAAAAAAGAUAGGAAAGGGAAGUAAUGUCAAACCUGAAAAAUAAUAUGGCAUGAGAGAUUGAAUAUAGGGAGGAAUGAAUCGGGCAUCAAGUAAACUAAGGCAUCAAGGAAAGUAAGACUUGAGGAUGGAAGGGAGGAAGGAACCAAUAAGCCACCGUCAGUGUACCAGUCAUUGGGACAGGUGCCGUGUGUUCGGUCUACCUGCCUUUAGUACGACCCGGAUGAAAAGAUGCUGACUUUUCUUAAAGGUUAGGCCAAAUGAUUCUAAGCUUGAGGACCCAUUCUAUCCGGGCCUAAAUGCUGGAGUUUCAGAAUUCACUCUACUUCUUACUGACUUUCGCCGAAUAUAUCCUAUGUGCUUAACACAUUGACGUCGGCGGCUAAGCUUUCUUUCUAAUGGUGAGCCGGGGAUCUAAUAGUCCACUUCACCCUAUCAAACUUGACCUCGAUAUAGGUUGCUUUUUGAUGACUAGUUAAUAGAAUAGACGGUAUCUAUUAUUUUCUACCUCCUCUACCUAGAUCUCCUUUUCCUAAGGAGGGAGAGAAGACGGUUCUCCGGGACGGAAGACAUCUCUCACUCGUACAUAUAUGGAUGGGUUUUCUACCUCAGAAAGGGAUGAAAUUGAGCAGCAGAGAUUGCUAAAAUAGCAAAGGGGAUCCAGAUUAUUUCAGAACUCCAACUGAAUGAUGCUAUACUCGAAUCUGAUUCUGCUGCAGCUUGACAAGGACCUGUGAAAAUGCUGAUAUCUCGAAUCCCUAUCUUAUUAAAAUGGGGUAGCUUUACUGAAGUACUGCAAGAAAAGUAUGGAAAAAAGCAUAGUCGGUACUUCUUAAUGCGGUACGUAAGCUGGUUAUCCUGACUAACAAUCAUGCCUUGCUUGGAUUUAGGGAUUAGGAAUUCUUAUUGGGAAAGAGAUUGGAUUGGCAUUCAAGUAGGAGUAGAUCCUAUUGGUCCAAAGUAGGCAUUCUUGUAUCAAUUAAAGUAGCUAUCUUCAUGAAAUAAGCGCUAAGAUUCUAGUUCAAAGAUAGGAGCAUUAAGCUCUAAAUCCAGUCAGUCCAGCUGGAAGUUUCACUAACUACUUAGGGAACUAGGGACCAGACCAGAGUUAUGAUUGGUGUAUUCCAUUCCUACCGUAAUUGAGACUUGCCCUCGCUCGCGGGUGAUUCCUUAUAGCUUGAUCCAUGUGAUGGCUGUUCUCUGCAAUGAACCACAACAUGUCCAUGGACUUCACAGAGAAUUGAGUGAAUGCACUAAAAACCAAGAAAUGACAUAGCGAGAACUGAGCAGCUCGAAAAGCUCGGACUUCGUAUACAUAAAGUAGAACUAAAAGCAGAUGAGUAGAGAUUGAAUCGAGCAUAGAAAUAAGAGAGUUUUGCUUAGCACUGUUCGGUUCGUCUUUCUUUACAAGUCAAUCUAUGCAUAAUUCUAUUUCUUGCAGCGCUGAAUCCGCUUUUGAAAUACAGAUCAGGGGCGGUAUUCUUAUUCUUUGGCUCGCCACUUAUGAAACAAAACUAGAUAUUUCUUAUUAUUUUCUUAGAGCUGAGCUCCGCAUGCGGUUCGAUUAAGAUGCGACAAAACCUUAUCCAUUAGUCUUGGCGAUGCCAGGGAUGGAGGGAGUCAUCAGUCGCACAAGCUUAUUGCUAAAGCCAAGACAGGACAUAAUAGCUUCUAAGUAAUGCCAUUGUACCCGCUUUCAUCAUGCCCAACUCAAAAACCAUUUAUCCCAUACUUCUUCUUUUCUUGUUCCUUCGUAUGAAUAACAGGAAUCCCAGUUCGGAUAGUUGACCAACAUUAUGAUUGUGUAUGAACUAGGGCUUUGGCUCAACACCUAUUGUCUUUCUUGCCCAUCCUUUUGUGGUAUCGAAGCUGUUCAUUGAGAUCCAUAGGUUCACAUUACAACCCACCAAUAGUCGAUUCCAGAGUGGAAGGCGAAAAAGAUAGGACGGGGACCCUUCGGAAGAAGGUAUAUGCUCGUAGUAUCUAGAAAAUAUUCAUGGUUGCAAGAGCGAGGUUAGUCAUCCUCACCAUCACCAUCAAAUACCGGUACUCGCUUUUUCUACAAGCUUGAUUUACGAACUCGACCUUUCACAGGAAGGAAGUUCCGUAUACCAUCAACGGAGUCAAACCGCUAGAGGGUCACAUAUAUCUAUAUACUAGUUCCGAUCAUACCAGUACUUACUUCCGUGGAGAUACGAGAAAGGGGGAGAAGAUGCGAUUAUGUAUCAUAAAUACUAAGGCCAGACAGACUAAAAGGGGCUUUUGGAUACGAAGAAGGUUUUCACGUCUUGCUUUGGGUGGUAUGCUUCCUCACUGUUGCUAUUCUGCCCUUUCCCGGUAGUCAACCACCAACGAACGCAAGGAGAUCUGGACCUGCAUGUAAUGUUUUUUCUAAAGCAGCUUCCUUACAUCAACAUGGGAUUGAAAAAGGGAGGGAAUUGAAAAAGGCGACUCCUCCUUAGUAGGAAUAGUAGCUGAGGCUGCUUCAACUCAUAACGAAGCUAUUCCAGCACAUAAGUCCGGGAUGAUCUGAGGUCGCUGGUCUCACAUGGAAGAUAUAUGAGCCUCCGCUGGAUAAACACCAGAACUGGUAUCGGCUUCUUUUGUUCGUAACGAACAAGCAACGGAUUGGGGAUUGCCAAUAGAAAAAGAUACAACCAACCAACAGCUUUUGGAAACCAGGAUCACCCCCAUUGUAAAGAGAACACGACACCCCUUUCCGUAGGGGCUCGCAAAGGUAUUAUACUGGAUGUGCGCAGAGAGCUAAUGAAACCCCAUUCCUUUUUCUCUAUACUCAAGGAUCUGCUAUAGCUUGCUUUUCCAAGAGUAUUGUAUUGACCUGAUUCCCCAGGAAAGAGUUGAUGGCAUCUCAACGCAAGAAGGUAGAGAAGAAUCCCUAGCGAAGAUGUGCCGAGAGCGAGAAAGCAUGUCUUCCCCGAGAUUAUUUAUUCCUCUUAUUUCUUAUAUGAAUAACUGAAAUCAAUCCUCACUUGUAUUAACUUCAUGAGUGAAGAGAUAUAGAAACCCUCAAUACCAGCACUGCUCCUAUCAAAAUCAAAUAAUUGGAUUUGUUUCCCCACUUCCUCCACGGGAUUCGUACAUCGGAUGAGGAUUCCUACAACGGUACAACGGAUCAAUCCAUUCAAAUCAACGAAACCAUUAGGUACGCCCCGGGAUCUACUCUAUUUUUAGAUUUGCUAAUGCCGAGAUCCAAUGCGAAAGCAAAGCGAAGGUUGUUAUUCAAUAGUUGUUGCCGGUAAAGGAACAUCGGAACGGGUAUCUUUAGCAAAGCAAUUUGGAUUGGUUGAAUCGUAUUGAGUUCCGGUCUCUUAUAGGGUCUUUCUUUGUCCUACUUAUAGUAUCUUUCCUCCAGCCUAUCGAAACUCGUGUUUUUAUUAACCAACAACACAUGCACUUUGUUAGAACUAAAGAAAAGGUUAUUCAAUCCACUAGUGCAACUGAAUUGAAGGAAUUACCUAUUCUGAACCUCCACAAGAAAGAGCUCAUAACCACUGCUUGUGAAGAGUUCUCCUCAACUGAAGGAGCACUACUUUUACUAUCAGUCUAGUCUCUCGAGGGCACUCUUUCGAUCUCGAACAAACUUACUUCUCCGGAAGAGAGAUAUUCAGAAAACCCGAUUUCCAGUCCUGUCUUAAGAACCCGACUCCAAAGAAAGAAAAAAGAAAAGCGGACUAAAAGAGAACAACAAAAGAGAGAUCACUUUCGACGAUUGAACAACACUUUGAUAUCCAGAUUGGAACUGGACUUGAACCUUCAUAUCCAGAUUUCACUCCACUUUCACUUUCAUAUUAGGAACGUCGACUUGCACUUUCAAUAGUGAAUUAUUCACUUUCCGGAAUUGGCUCGUAUUCACAUAGGCCAAGAAAGACGAAUAAGACCUUGAACUCCCUAUUUCACGUAUAAUCGAGAGACUCAUAAUAUCAGUGCCUUGGGUAAAUGCCUACCAAAGGGAGAAGAUUACCGAACUUUUUUCUGUCUUCUUCGCUUCCUAAAAUAUUUAGGGAACAGGCUGGCUUUCAUGUUCAUAAGUUCUCUUUGUCACAUACAUCCAUCGCUUUCGUCUUUCUUGGCUUACUCAGGUGAUCUAAUUAAUGGGCAAGCCCCACUCAAAGCAAUUCAGUCCCGGAGCUCUUUCUUCUAAAUGCAGAUUCAAUAGCACCGGUGACAAAAGCAAAGGAUAUUCAAUCCAGUCGUCGUCUUGUGGGCCUGCUUCUUUCCGUUCUUUCUCUUCUUUUGCAGAGGUGUGUGUUGUGCCACGCAUACAAAUUGUUUUUUUAGCCAAAGGGUGACUUUACCACUCGCUUUUGGUUCCAAUGGAUAUGGGUUAGAUGGAUGGAGUCUUCCUUAUUGAAGUGGGCAAGGCAAGCAGCUCCUCUCGAAUAGGCUGAUCGGCGAUACGUGAUUUUUGAAUAAAAGCUAGACGACUCAGCCCUCUUCUCAUCUCAAAGCUCGACCUCUGCCACUACUACUGCUUCCCUAGCCAAGCCAUACUUCUCAUUCUUUGCUUGAAUCCAUCAAAAAACAAAUUCCGUCGAGUUUCCUUGCAUGGGUUGAUUGACCUUGAAGUCCAUAUAUAGAUUCCCGUAGUUCAUCUCAACUUGACAAACCAUUGAGAAUGGAACAAAUAGGGGAGAUGGAAUUCUUCUAUAUUGUCUUUCAACCCCUGCUCUUGCCUUGGCUUCGCCUUCCACCUUCAGCUAAGCACCUAACCCGUGGGACGGGACCUUCGGUCUAGCCUUUGUUCGGGUAUGGGACCGACCUAGGAUUCUUCCAUCCGAGUGAGUACCGCCCUUCUGAUUUGGUUUGAGUACGGGACCGACCUUCUCUUUUGUUUGUAAUUGGGCUUGCCCGAAACAAAGGAACUUUGGUGUGAGAACCCACCCGAGUUGGUAACCCGACAUUUUCACCUACGAUUUCUCCCUCGUCUUCUUUGCCUAGCCUUUAGCUUCUUUCUUGUCUGAUCUUAGAUUUCACUGUUAGGAAAUAGGGCAUUACCUGUCACUCUGCCUUUCUAAGAAGGCCUUUCGCUUAGUUGUCCUUUCUACUAGAACUUCCCUUUAGCAGUUCUGGAACAUCUAUAGUAUGUUUGAAUGUCGGAAAUUUUUCUAUAUUCUCUUCCUCCUCGUCCAUUAGUUCAGUUCCUUUCCUUAGUGAAACCUGACCCCCUCCAUCUUUCGAGAACAACAAGAGGGCAUUCUCAAGCAGGCGUAUUCUUCUUCACUUCCUAAGAAGGCAUUUUCUUGCUAACAAGCCAUUCUGGCGAACAAAAGAGCUACUUCUAUCAAAGAGGAGCAAAGGCUAAGCGGAACUCCUCCCUUCGUGUCUUCUUCCUUUCCAAGCUUGUCGCGGGGAAUCUAGGCUCUUUUUCAGCCCCUAAGGACUGCUACUUUGAUGAAUGAGGCCUGACGGUCUUAAUUCCUAAUGCUACUCCUACUGCUAUUGCUAUUGUUACUGCUUUUGGGAAUUGGCAUCUUUCUUCAUAGGGGCCUAGCCAAGGAAAGCUUUCCCAUUAAAUGAAUGUGCUUGCGUACUCUUCGAUUCCUGCGGGAAGUGUGGGACUAAUUGAAUUUCAUUCUUGUCCGCUAAGAGAAUUAUUCUUCCUUAUAGCUUGCAUUCGAUGCAUCCACCGUACUAAGAGCUCCUUCUUGAAGAACCGAUUCUGUAACAACCCCAAAGGAGAAUCUAUCUAAAUAAACCUAAAUAAAACUCCCAUUAUGAUUUGAGAUUGCCUUGCCAUUGCGCCCCUUGCCUUUCUUACUGGAUUUCCAGUUGAUGGGGACGGCUUGGCAAAGAAGCUUGUGUUGGAAGAGAAGUGGAAAACUAAGCUGUUCGGGCUUAACUUAAACCUGAUUGCCCUAGUAGGAGUCAGAAUAAGGUUGAGGCUUGAAGACAAGCAACUAACAUCUCGGAUCUUGCCAUUGCCAGGAGCAUGGAUGCCCAGAAUGCCCUCAGUCUAUGUAUGUCUAUAUAGGCUUUAAGGAAAAAGGCAAGUAAGCCGUAAGCCACAAAUCAAGGCUUUUAAGGACCUUCGACAGCUUAUAAAUAAGCUAAUAACAGAUCUUUUGCGUCUUUCGAGAUGCGAAGAGAAGUAAGAAGGUUUACUAUUGGGAUAACGAAGAUAUGACCAUAUUUUAGAUCGAUUUUCAACAGACGAGAUCGGAUAGUAGAAUAGAGAGAAGGAUUUGCUGCUUUCUUAAAAUGAUAGAGAGUCAGGAGAGGGUCUAUGUUAAUAGAGCUCUUUAGAUAGGGAGAGGAAAGACAUAACUAGACUGCGGAAAGAAUAGAAUCUUUUACCGCUACAUCCGCUUGAGAAGAAAACUCAGCAAAGGAGAUUCCUAUCCUUUCUCUAGUUGAAGACUAAUCUGGAUAUUCCCGACGAUGCUUGACUUCGAGUUCUUGGAGUGACAGCUUUCUUUGUAAACAAGGGUCCCUUACUCUAUUACUUUUCCACUUCAUUGAUCUGAAAGAAGUGACAGAAGAAAGCUACGGGCAUAUACCCCUGCCCCGGGGGAACAGGUGCCACCUCAACAGCUAUAUUCUAAAUCGUUAAGCCUCGCAACCCUUUCCUUUGUAUCGGACCUUUCCCGCUUUCCUUCCUCACUCAAACUUCAAAAAGUCCUUCCAUGAAUCUAGGGAAGGAAAACCACCUCUGACUUCACCAAGUCUCCCUUUCUUUGGUCGAAGGCUUCAGGUCAAGAUCCUUUUUCCUAUCUAUUGAAGAUGCAAAGAGAGAUGCUUCUUCCUCUUCAAGUUGGAAGUGCAAGAAGAAAUGCGGUAAAUAGGAGUUCCAUCUACCACGCACUCGCCCCACACUCCUGCUAACUUCAGCAUCCAUAGUCAGCUAGGAGGAAGGUGCCGGGGACACUAUGAACACACAUGUACUUGGUUGACUUCACGUCCCGUCUCACAACCGGGUAAGAUCAAAUAAACAAACAACUUGCUUGCCCAAUCCCUAUUGAGAGGAUUUCUUGAGCUUGAACUUCCUUUUGUAGCUCCGCUCACAAGAACUUCUUUUCAUCCGCAAUGAAGCUUAUACCACCACUUGGUCAGUAAGGCCUGAUUCAAAAAAAGAUCAAUCACCCCCUUCCCUACUUCAAUGGAAAAGGGGGAAUCGCCCUUUCACAGCCGCCCCUCCACAAAAUUUAUACCUAUCCUUUUGCCUAAGAUGAUCACGAACGAAGACAGAGAAUUGCGUAGAUAGGAGGAGGAAACAAACCAACCCGAAAAAACAAACAAAAGGGAAUGAGAGAAAUGAUCGAAACGAUUGAGGAAAUAAAGAGAAUGGCGGCCCCUUUCCUUUCGCCUAGGGGGCAUCGUCGUCGGGGACAGGCUUCGAGGGUUCUUCCAUAUCUAGAUAUAGAGAUAGAUGAUGAUAGAGAUCUAGAUCUUUCUAUAGAUAGAUCCUUUGAGAAAUUUCUAUUGAUCCGCUUUCAAGAUCUAUGAACAAGAGAGAUCCAAAAAAUCUCCAUGUAAAAAAGAGAGAUGAAUAGAUAGGGCUGAGCCGAUAGCAGGACUGGGUACGAUGAUGGGGCGAGAGAGGGAAAAAACCUUCGGGAUGGAUCGGGAAAAGUGACCUCUGGCUCAGCCCACGACUUCCUUCCCUUCGCAUAGCUCAGGUGACUCCCUUCCCCCUUUUUUCCCAGAAUGAAUUAGCCCGACACGAUGAAUCCUGCCCUCCUGUAUUUCUUUCUCAUUGAAUGAACCACUGUCUGGGACGCCCCUAUGCCUAUGAAUUCAAUGAUUUAAGGGCCCCGGGAGGAAACUUCGGAAAGAAAGCCUACUGGUUGGUCUGGUUGUCCCCUGGCGGUGCCCGGGCGGGCCUCGGUUCAAUCUUGCCGAUUCUACCUAGACAUGGCUCAAAAUGAAGGGGUAAGGCCAAGUGUUCUUAAAACAAAACUCGAAGUGCACACUUCGGAGCACGGUCUUCCGUUAGGUCCUUUACGGACGACGAAAGCCCCUUGGCUAUACUCUACUCUUCGCCUCCGGCUGUUCUGUUCUUUUCUUUUGGCCCAGCGGAGCUGAGCUGGGUUCCAUUACACUCUAUAGGAAAUGCAUAGACAGUCCACGCAGCAAACCGAGGCCCUGCGUGCACCGUAUGUACCGCCUAUGAAUAAUAGGUAGCCCCACCCCAGGCAGAGUUUGUGAGUCGUGUAAUAGGCGACCAUUUCACGCGGUUCGGGGGGCACUUGAAUAAGCCGCCGGCACCCGGCUGCGUCUUUACCCCUAUCCAAUUUUUGGGCCAAUUCCCCCUUCGUACUACCAAAAAAUGAGAUUCUUGCCGAAUCCGAGUUUGCUGCCCCAACCAUUACAAAACUAAUACCUAUUCUGUUUAGUACUUCAGGUGCUUCUCUAGCGUAUAAUGUAAAUCUCGUAGCGGAUCAAUUCCAAUGAGCCUUUCAAACUAGUACUUUUUGUAAUUGACUCUAUAGCUUCUUCAAUAAACGCUGGUUCUUUGAUCAAGUUUUGGAUGACUUUCUAGUCAUAUCGUUCCUGCGUUUCGGAUAUUCAGUCUCAUUCGAAGCUUUAGACAAGGGUGCUAUUGAGAUAUUGGGCCCUUAUGGUAUCUCGUACACAUUCCGACGUUUGGCCGAGCGAAUAAGUCAACUUCAAAGUGGAUCUAUUGUGCGAAGAGUGUGUUAUGAACCGUGGCCGCCUACCUGCUUUGGUUGGUGGGGGCGGCUCCUACGUUGUGGGUAAACGGGAAACCCGACUCUACGAACCCGAGGAAAGGCUUCACAGCAUUGGUAGGGGCGUUAAGACCGGAGCUUUUUGUAGUGCUAGCAGGAAUGCAAGUGAAUGAAUCCAAUCCCAUCCCCUUUAAAAUCGGCGAGGUAAUACCUUAUUGAAGUAGGGCACGCUACGGCAACACAGGACUGACGGGGUGGGGGCUUGCUGUCUACUUGGCGAGCCUUCACUGCCCCCUUCUGUAACUUCCCUUCUUUCGUCCGUCCACGAGGCAGUCAAAAGAAAGAGAGAAAGGGGCGGCUAUAACGCAGGAGUCGUGGCGGUUGUAUGCCACAAGGUCCCUAUAGACAAGGGGACAAGUGAAUCAUCGCUUUUGGGCGCAGGCGGCCCUCUACCAUCCAUCCCAUUGCAUUUCUCUCGUAGAGUACUGUACCGUCUCAGACCAGAUACAUCUAUGGAAAGAAAGGAUUUCAUAGAAAAUCUGCAUUUUUCUAUUUUUUUAUCCCCAUGCAUUCCGUUAUUCCCGUAACUAUGGAUUGAUUGUCCCUACCUAACUAAAUGGUAGUGGUCUAGGGAGCGCAAUUUCUAGAGCACGGGAGAAUGAAGAGUAAUGAUCUAAGCAAGAGCAGCCGGACGGACUACUAUAGUAAGUCUAGUGACUACUAUAGUCUUUUCUUUCUUUGUAGUUGAGGGAGUCCUGGACUAGGGGGUGUCCGGACAGCCGGACUAUCAUCGUCCGCCGGACUCCAAGACUAUGAAGAUACAAGAUUGAAGACUUCGUCCCGUGUCCGGAUGGGACUUUCCUUGGCGUGGAAGGCAAGCUUGGCGAUACGGAUAUGUAGAUCUCCUACCAUUGUAACCGACUUUGUGUAACCCUAGCCCUCUCCGGUGUCUAUAUAAACCAGAGGGCUUUAGUCCGUAGGACACAACAACCAUUACAACAAUCAUACCAUAGGCAAGCUUCUAGGGUUUAGCCUCCUUGAUCUCGUGGUAGAUCCACUCUUGUACUACCCAUAUCAUCAAUAUCAAUCAAGCAGGAGUAGGGUUUUACCUCCAUCGAGAGGGCCCGAACCUGGGUAAAAACAUCGUGUCCCUUGUCUCCUGUUACCAUCUGCCUAGACGCACAGUUCGGGACCCCCUACCCGAGAUCCGCCGGUUUUGACACCGACAUUGGUGCUUUCAUUGAGAGCUCCCCUAUGCCGUCACCGAUAGGAAGGAUGCCUCCUCCCAUCUUCAAGGACGGUAUUUUCGCCAAAGGAGCCUUGGCCGCCAGCCAAACUAUCCGGCUAGGUGGUUUUCUUAUGACCGCCUGUCCGGCCACCGCUUCGACAAUGACCUCUCAAGUCGUCAAAAGCAAUCUUCGCGUCAGCUCAGAAUUCGCCGAGCGGCUGGAUCCAAUAGAGCUCUCGUCCGUAAACGAGCUCUUGGAUCGCAUCGCCGCCCUGGGAGUCGCUAUAGACUACAAUCAGAUUGGGCUUAAAACCGAUCUGAGAGAGAUUAACUCUCCCCAGGUCACCCACCACGUUGCAGUGGUAGAGGAACAAUGCGGCGACUCUUCUCCUGUAUUGAAAACUAGUCAUGUCCGGGCUGCCGAACCCUCCAUGCCGGAUUCCCGCGGAGGGACAGACUUCAAUCAAGCACUGAACCUAAAGUCAGGCAUUGGACCGGACUCGUUGGACAACGUUCCACUUUCCAAGCUUCCAAAUUCAGAAAAUUCUCGGCCCUUGAGCCUUGAGAUGGGUAGGGUUCCGGACUCAAUUCCACCCACCCGCCCAGACAUAUGCGAUCUAUCUCUAAUCCAGAAAGAGCCCGCUGAAACAGUACAUCAUUACUGGGCCAGAUUCCUCCUGGUUAUGGACAGGAUAAAGGACUGCCGAGAGGAAAACGCAGUCUCAAUCUUUUGCAAUAAUUGCACGGACGAGGGAAUCUUGAACGCCAUCAGCCGUCGUGAAGUUACACGCUUCGCCGACCUGGCGUCCAUAGUACGAAAGUACUGUGUGAUGGAGAGUUUCCGGAAAACCGAAAUUACGUUUUGGGACAAUCCGGCCCCGAAUACAACCCUAGUCCGCAAUAAAAGGGUGCAUUACACUCAGGCACCGGGUAUAAAAACCAAAAAGCAAAAACCCCAUAAAGGGCAUGGAACCGUACUGGAGGGGUGGCUUAGCGGACCCUGUAAAAUUCACAGUACAGAGGGCGCCACCCCAACACAUAGCCUUCGAGCAUGUUGGAUAUUACGGCAGGUGGCCAAAAGUGGCGAGAAGCUUCUAGCCCCGGAAAACCACUCCAACAAUACCGUUACGGUAUCAACAGUCUUCGAGACCUUUGCAUCAAAUAAUAUGCGGAAACAAACAAUCCGCAGCCUUGCCGAAGUCUACCAAGUAGCAACAACAAAUCCAUGGAGCGACACAGCCAUCACCUUCAACGCCAACGACGAACCUAAAUUCCGAACAUCCCGAGCACCAGUCGCACUGGUACUUAGUCCAAUAGUAGACGGCUUUCGACUCACAAAGGUCCUCAUGGAUGGCGGCAGCGGAUUAAACCUCAUCUACGAGGAAACUCUUCAAAAAAUGGAAAUAGACUGGAGCCGCAUUGAGCGAAGAAGCACAACCUUCAGAGGAAUAAUCCCUAGCCGGGAAGCGCGCUGCACCAGAAAAAUCACACUCGAUGUGGUGUUCGGCUCGCCGGACAAUUACAGAUCCGAAGAAGUCACGUUCCAGGUGGCCCCGUUGAACAGCGGAUAUCAUGCUAUAUUAGGACGAGAGGCAUUCACAAUUUUUCAAGCCGUACCCCACUACGGGUACAUGAAGCUCAAAAUGCCUGGGCCCGGCAGAAUAAUCACUCUCGUUAGUGAUCCGGACAUAGCACUCCGCGCCGAAAACAAGACAGCCGCAUUAGACCUGGAGGCACUAUCCGAAGCCCUAGCGGCAGAAGAACUCACCGCGCUACACUCUACGGUGAAUAGGGACGAUGUGAUACUCUAUAAGAGAUCCAAGUCCACCUCCUUUAAACCAGCGGACGAAAUAGUAAAAUUCCAGGUCCAUCCAACGGACCCGACAAAGACGGCCUCCAUCGGGGCACAAUUGAACCCUGAUGUAGACGCCGCAUUGCAAGAAUUCCUUCAGGAAAAUUGGGACAUCUUCGCCUGGCACCCUUCAGACAUGCCGGGAAUCCCACGCAGAUUGGCAGAGCACAGCCUAAACAUCCUAAAAGGAUUCAAGCCAGUCAAACAGGCUCUUCGACGAUUUUCCGAACCCAAAAGACAGGCAAUGGGAGAAGAGCUAGCCAAACUAUUGGAAGCCGGAUUCAUCAGAGACAUCAAACAUCCGGAUUGGCUAGCAAACCUGGUAAUGGUACCAAAGAAGGACAAAUCCUGGCGCCUAUGUGUCGAUUUUAAAGACCUCAACAAGGCUUGCCCAAAGGAUCCCUUCCCCCUCCCUCGCAUCGACCAGAUAAUCGAUGCUACCGCAGGACAUGAUUCAUUGUGCUUCCUUGACGCAUACUCCGACUACCAUCAAAUCAAGAUGGCAGAAGCGGACCAAGCCGCAACAGCAUUCAUCACUCCAUACGGACCAUUCUGCUUCAACACAAUGCCCUUUGGACUCAAAAACGCCGGCGCAACAUAUCAACGCAUGAUUCAGACAUGUCUGGCCACCCAGAUCGACAAAACAGUAGAGGCAUACGUAGACGACGUAGUCGUCAAAACCAAACACGUCGAAACUCUAGUAGACGACUUGAGGCUCACAUUCGACAACCUCAGAGCAUAUGACAUCAAGCUGAAUCCGGAUAAAUGCAUUUUCGGAGUACCGGCCGGAAAGCUCCUGGGCUUCAUUGUAUCCGGUAGAGGAAUUGAAGCAAACCCAGCUAAGAUCCGAGCUCUGUCACAACUAGAUAUUCCAAAAGACCUCAAACAAAUACAAAAAUUGACAGGAUGCGUGGCGGCUCUGAGCCGCUUUAUCUCCCGUUUAGGAGAAAAGGCAUUGCCCCUCUAUCGCCUCCUUAGGCGCACCGAACACUUCAAGUGGACGGAUGCUGCCACUGCCGGACUCGAAGAAAUAAAAGCCAUAUUAGCAACAAAUCUGGUCCUGGCUGCGCCCUACCUGGGUGAACCAAUGUUGUUAUACAUCGCGGCAACACAUCAAGUUGUAAGCGCGGUACUCGUCGUCGAACGAGAGACAGAAGGGCAUAAAUUCCCUCUUCAAAAACCAGUGUACUACGUAUCCACUGUGUUAACCCCCUGCAAGUCCCAUUACCCGCACUAUCAAAAGAUAGCGUAUGCGGUGUUCAUGGCAUCCCGGAAGCUCCGACACUACUUUCAAGAGUGUUCGAUAACAGUGGCCUCUGAAGUACCCCUCAACGACAUCAUAAACAACCGCGAAGCGACGGGCAUGAUUGCAAAAUGGGCCAUUGAGCUCUUACCAUUCGAUAUAACUUACAAACCUCGGCGAGCUAUAAAGUCACAAGUUUUGGCUGACUUUGUCGCUGAAUGGACCGAAGCCGAACUCCCUAAAGAGUACGUCGCAUACUCCAAUUGGAUUAUGCACUUCGACGGAUCUAAAAUGUUGGCCGGAUUGGGGGCUGGCGUCAUAUUGACGUCCCCAACCGGAGACACAGUCCAAUAUGUAUACACGGACUCUAACAACGCAGCUGAAUACGAGGCCCUUUUACAUGGCCUCCGGAUGGCAAUCUCCAUGGGCAUUCAACGCCUAGAGGUGCGCGGGGAUUCAAACCUUGCAAUGUCCCAAGUAAAUGGAGACUUUGAUGCCAAGGAUCCAAAAAUGGCAGCAUAUCGUAACACUGUCCUAAAUGUCAGCUCGGUUUGACGGACUUGAAUUCCACCACGUAUCCAGGGAUAAUAACCAAGCGGCCGACGUAUUGGCACGCAUCGGCGCAAAACGUGACGCUGUCCCUCCAAACAUCUUCCUGGAACGGCUGUUUAAGCCAUCCGUACUAUGGGAAGAGGAGUCCGGAAAUACCAAACCGGAAGCAGCCACACCAACCGACACUGAGCAAUCUAACAUAACUGGCGAUUCAGCCGAUGAAAUAACACCUUCAUCCCACGACAUAAUGGCAGUAAUCGCCCCGUGGACAGAGCCAUUCCUAGCCUACUUGCUUAGGCAGGAACUUCCCGAAGACCAAAAUGAGGCCCGCUGCAUAGUCCGGCGAUCUAAAGCCUACAAGGUCCAUGAGGGAGAACUCUAUAAGAAAAGCACAUCCGGAGUCCUUCAAAGGUGUAUCUCCGAAGAGGAAGGGCGAAACCUUCUGGCUGAAAUUCAUGCCGGACUAGGCGGACACCACGCAGCAGCUCAGGCCCUUGUAGGAAAGGCAUUCCAUACAAGAUUUUAUUGGCCGAAGGCCCGGGCAGAUGCUCAGGAUUUAGUCCGAAGAUGCGUCGGUUGUCAGCUCUUUGCUAAUCAGAGCCAUAUGCCACCCACCGCCCUCAAAACUAUACCCAUUACCUGGCCGUUCGCGGUCUGGGGUCUUGACAUGGUUGGACCCCUUAAAGGGGGAACCCACAAGCAAAGGUACCUAUUGGUCAUGGUGGAUAAAUUCACCAAAUGGAUAGAGGCCAAGCCAGUCAAAACGGUAGAGUCCGGACCAGUGAUAGACUUUAUCUCCGGGGUAGUACACCGUUAUGGUGUCCCCCACAGCAUCAUCACCGAUAACGGCACGAACUUCACAGCCGACGAGGUUAAAUCAUGGUGCAAAAAUAUGGGCAUUAAGCUCGAUUACGCUUCAGUCUAUCAUCAUCAAACCAACGGUCAAGUGGAACGAGCGAACGGUCAUAUAAUGAGCGGCAUCAAACCCAGACUAGUGCGGUCACUUACGAAAUCUGACACGCAUUGGGUAGAGGAGCUAGACUCCGUACUCUGGGGGCUGCGGACAACGCCCAACCGUACUACCGGAUUCACACCAUUCUUUAUGGUAUACGGGGCAGAGGCAGUUCUGCCCUGCGACAUCAUUCAUGACUCACCUCGAGUGCGCAUGUACGAAGAAAGAGAAGCCGAGCUGGAUCGGCAGGACAGCUUGGAUGCAUUGGAGGAAGAACGUGACGUCGCCAAGGCUCGUUCCGCAUUCUAUCAGCAGCAGGCUCGAAGAUAUCAAAGCAGAGAAGUACGGGCCAAGACUUACAACGUUGGCGAACUAGUUCUACGCCUGCCGGACAAGAAAAAGGACAAACUCAAGCCCAAAUGGGAGGGCCCUUUCAUCAUCGAUCAAGUCCUGACCGGCGGAGCGUACCGUCUAUGAAAUGCGUAGGAAAACCAGCUUGAGCCGAACCCAUGGAAUGCAGCCCGCCUCCAAAGAUUCUAUGCCUAGCGCCGGACUAAGAGUUCGUCCCCUUCCCCCAUCCAAACUUUUACAUUGUAGCUGUCUUUUGUUUCUCUUUCUUCUCUCAACCCUUUUCCUAAAAAGCCCUUAAAGGCCUACUUGCGCAUUGUUCGCACUCACUUGAUGUGCCAUCCACACUCAUUAUACCUGGGGGACUUCUUUACCAGAAGCUUAAUUAUAAGGGCUUCAUGCUCAGCACAUGCGUCAAGCUUCCACAUGUACCUUUUAUUCACCAUUAUAUGCAUCGAUAUGACUUAAGUUUUGGCCAAGCUGGGUUGCCUGGCUCCUGUGCUUACCUCUACGUUCCCGAUUGUUCGGCUAGGAGGUAAAGGGAGCACCUCUGUGAUUGUUACUGCCGGGUCAGCCGGAUGUGUACCUCAGACUGGGUGAAGCUGAAAGUUAGCGUUCUUAAGGGAAUAUUCGGUCGGUGACUUGAAAGAUGAUUUUUUACCUACUUAUUUAUCUGCCCCCAGAUGUUUUUCUGCUCUUUUCGCAGUCCGGACAUGCAGUUUAGGGCAUGCCUCCCAGGGAAAGGAACCCUUAACAGAACUAUUCUCCCUAGAAGAUGUUUCUUACUAACCAUGUAAUAUAACAUAACUAGUUGGGCACUUGUCUGAUAAAGCACUAAUGACCCCUACGACUGGUCUCCAUGCAUACCCCGGUUGUUUCUUAACCGAGAAGGUAUUCGGACACACUCCGGACUCUAGGGUCCCGAGGUUGAAGCGAAAAGGUCAGCAAAGAUAAACGAUCUACAAUCCGGCUAGAAGGCAUUUCACAUGUCAUUUUAAAAUACAUUGUCAAAUCUACUGACUGUAUUCCUCCUCAAUCCCAUCUAAUAGGCUGUCUAAUUUACAGUCCCGUUGGGAAAAUUUAGCGGCCAACUCUACUUGGCCGUAUACUAAACUCACAGGGAUCUCCUUCCCAUCGGGCCCCAUAGGUCCAACCUCGGCCAUGUGGUUGGGAUCCGCCUUCUUGUACCGCGUCUUCACCAUGGCCCACGCCUCCCUAGCACCUUGGCGGCAGGCCGAAAUCUUCCAUAAACGGAAGCACUGCCGCACUCCCUGAAGCUUCUCCGCAAGCUCCCCAAGGCCCUCGGGUAGGGAGAGGGCUGGCCAUAAAGCCUGGACGACGCCGCUCAUUGCCUGCCGAACUCGUUCGAGCAGCUGCAACAGCUCGGGAAGUUGAUCACCCGUUGAUACGGGUGAGGGAGUCCUGGAGGGGUGUCCGGACAGCCGGACUAUCAUCGUCCGCCGGACUCCAAGACUACGAAGAUACAAGAUUGAAGACUCCGUCCCGUGUCCGGAUGGGACUUUCCUUGGCGUGGAAGGCAAGCUUGGCAAUACGGAUAUGUAGAUCUCCUACCAUUGUAACCGACUCUGUGUAACCCUAGCCUCCUCCGGUGUCUAUAUAAACCGGAGGGCUUUAGUCCGUAGGACACAACAUACAUUACAACAAUCAUACCAUAGGCUAGCUUUAGGGUUUAGCCUCCUUGAUCUCGUCGUAGAUCCACUCUUGUACUACCCAUAUCAUCAAUAUUAAUCAAGCAGGACGUAGGGUUUUACCUCCAUCGAGAGGGCCCGAACCUGGGUAAAACAUUGUGUCCCUCGUCUCCUGUUACCAUCUGCCUAGACACACAGUUCGGGACCCCCUACCCGAGAUCAGCCGGUUUUGACACCGACAUUGGUGCUUUCAUUGAGAGUUCCUCUGUGUCAUCACCGAUAGGCUCGAUGGCAUCUUCAACCAACAACGCUGUCCAGGGUGAGACUUUUCUCCCCGGACAGAUCUUCGUAUUCGGCGGCUUCGCACUGCGGGCUAAUUCGCUUGGCCAUCUGGAGCAGAUCGAAAGCUACGCCCCUGGCCGUCAGGUCAGAUUCGGAAGUCUAAACUUCACGGCUGAUGUCCGCGGAGACUUGAUCUUCGACGGGCUCGAGCCACAGCCAAGUGCACCGCACUGUUACGAUGGGCAUGAUUUAGCUCUGCCGCCAAACAGUGCCUUGGUGGCCGCACACAAAUCCGCUUCGGCCCUUAGUCCGGAGCCAAUCGCCUAGAUCGAGGAUAGGUGGAUGGACACCACCUCGGGGGCUUCAACUUCCACGGCGAUGGAGCCGAACGCUAAUCUUGUCCCCCGUGAAACUCGUGAUUUUGAGGUGCCGGACUCCUCGCCGGACUCCGAACCUCCCACGCCCCUACCAAUCGAUUCGGAUUAGGUGCCGGUUAUGGAAUUCACCACUACGGACAUCUUCCAAUAUUCGCCCUUUGGCGACAUCCUAAAUUCGCUAAAGCAUCUCUCGUUAUCGGGAGAGUCCUGGCCGGACUAUGGCCAGGAUGGUUGGGAUGCGGACGAUGAAGAAAUUCAGAGCCCACCCACCACCCACUUUGUAGCCACUAUCGACGAUCUAACCGACAUGCCAGACUAUGACUCUGAAGACAUUGACGGUAUAGACGAUGAUGCCAGAGAUGAACAAGAACCAACGCCUACAGGGCACGAGAGGACCACCUCGUCAUAUGACAUAUAUAUGGUGGAUACCCCAAAAAGAGAGUGAUAACGAGGACCAACGGGCCGCGGCAGAAGAUAACCCCGCCGACAAACAACCAAAACGGCGGCGCAGACGCCGCCCUAAGUCCCGCCUCGACAACAACAACGCUCCUAAGGACCCCGCAAUACAGCAUGGCACACAAGUGGACGACGAACAUGCAGACAAGCAACCGUCCGAACAGGACGAGUCAGAUAAUCAUUCUAGGCCCGGCGAAAACAACAGUCCGGACGAUCUCAUGCCGGACACGCCGCCGGAGAGUAAAAACCUUCGGAAAAGACUCGUCAACACUGCAAGAAGCUUGAAGAAGGAAAAGCGGAAGCUCAAAACAGCGGAAGGCACACUUAGGAUGAGGUGGAGCAAAGUGCUCAAAACCGCGGAUAAAUACGGCAAUGGCCACCAAUCAAAGAGCUACCCGAAGCGCAAGCUGCUACCAGAAUUCAACGAGGAGGCCACAGAGCCCCCACAGUCAAAGAACAAAGAGGCCGCCUGGUUGGAUAGACGACCGGAUGAUAGGCCAAAUUCUGAAAGCGGCGCCGCACAUAAACCAACUAAUGAACCUGGAAAGAUAGAUGGCCCAGCCAGGUCCAUUGACGGGCCAAAGAAGAAGGCCCCAGGAAGCAAGGCAACACGUCAAGUGUCCGAAGAUAGUGGCACACCCAAAUACAGGGGCGCCGCACACCCACUAUGUUUCACCGAUGAAGUGCUGGACCAUGAAUUCCCAGCGGGAUUUAAACCCAUAAACAUAGAGGCCUACGAUGGAACAACAGACCCUGGAGUCUGGAUAGAAGAUUAUAUACUACAUAUACACAUGGCCAGAGGAGAUGAUCUCCACGCCAUAAUAUACCUACCCCUCAAGCUCAAAGGGCCAGCCCGUCAUUGGCUUAAAAGCCUCCCAGAAAACACUAUGGGAAGUUGGGAAGAGCUCGAGGACGCGUUUAGAGCAAAUUUUCAAGGGACUUAUGUCCGCCCUCCGGAUGCAGAUGAUCUAAGUCAUAUAACUCAACAGCCCGGAGAGUCAGCGCGCAAAUUCUGGAACAGGUUCCUCACCAAAAAGAACCAAAUAGUCGACUGUCCGGACGCCGAAGCCUUAGCAGCUUUUAAACACAAUGUCCGAGACGAAUGGCUUGCCAGACACCUCGUCCAAGAGAAACCGAGGACGAUGUCUGCGCUAACAAGCCUCAUGACCCGCUUCUGUGCGGGAGAGGAUAGCUGGCUAGCAAGAUGCAGCACCAGCGACCCAAGUACAUCCAAGACAAGAGAUGGAAACGGAAAAUCACGGCGCAGAAAAGAGCAGCGCCGGAAUAAAGAGAAAAGCCCAAAGAGCACGGCAGUCAAUGCCGGAUUCAAAAGCUCGCGGCCAAACAACAAAACACCACCUCUUAAGGAUGACAGCGAUGAGUUGUCCAACUUAAACAAGAUUUUGGGUCGGAUAUGUCAAAUCCACAGUACCCCCGGAAGGCCUGCAAACCAUACCCAUCGAGAUUGUUGGGUUUUCAAAUAGUCUGGCCGACUAAACACCGAACACAAGGGGCUCGACGCGUCAAGCGAAGACGAUAAACCCCACCAGCAGAGCACCGGAAAGCAAAAGACUUUCCCACAAGAGGUCAAAGCAGUAAACUCACUUCAUGUGAUAAUACGGAAAAAUAGUGCUGCACCUUCUAAAAGGAGCCUCGCACGGUCCAACCCAGCAGACCAUAGAGAUUGGAUAUCAAAACCAAUCACUUUCGACCACCUGGAUUAUUCCAGAAGCGUUCGAAAUGCAGGACGGACUGCCCUGAUAUUGGAUCCCAUAAUCGACGAACUACAAUUUACUAAAGUCCUGAUGGACGGAGGCAGCGACUUAAACUUGCUGUACUCAAACACAAUCCGCAAGUUGGGGAUAGACCCUACUAAAAUUCGACACAGCCGCACUUCCUUCAAAGGAGUGACGCCAGGCCCUUACGCCAAGUGCACAGGCUCCCUAUCACUAGAAGUUGUGUUCGGAUCACCGAACAACUUUCGACGCGAAAAACUAGUCUUUCAUAUCGUCCCAUUUAAAAGUGGAUAUCAAGCACUCUUGGGACGAAAGGCUUUUGUCCGUUUCAACGCCAUACCGCAUUACACGUCUCUUACACUCAAGAUGCCCGGUCCACGUGGCAUCAUUUCAGUGCAAGGGUCACUUAAAGACCCCGGACACGGAUAGACGAGUCCGGCAUCAGUAGGCUAGGGGCUCCCUAGCUGCACACCCCUUCACAAGGGGCUGCGCGCACAAACAACCGCGAGUUCAUACAAACUCCGCUUUACUUAUUUUUCUUCUUUCACACAUACCUUUUUCGCACGAGUUGUUUUCAAACUAAAGUUCCUCUCUUUUUACAGAUGAACAACGUGCACACCCGUCCAGGAUAAUGGCACAACGGAGACACAGGCGCAGACGUGCAGUAGGGACCCGUUGCGAGGAUUCUUUUCAGAUUAAGACCCUGCGUAAACCUUUUUUACUGUCUCUUGUUGUUAUUCUUCCUUGGUUUCUUCCUAUAACCAAAGCGGAGCCUGAUGUUUUGGCAUCGGCCGCGUCAGAGGACCAUGCCCGUACCUGGACACUAGGGGCUUAGGGCAUUAUUCUGCCCAUUAUUAUAAAGACCGAACACCUUAGGGAGUGUUCGGCGUCUCCAGUUAGGCAUUAUAUGCAUCAGCUCCGAAUCAUAUCUUUGGUCAAAUGUUGGGUUUGCCCGGCUCCUGUGUUUUGCUGCCUUACGUUCCGUAUCAUCGGCUAACGCAGCAUCAGGAGAACUACUGUGAUUGUGCCCCAGUUCGGCUGGGCGAGCACCUCAAUAGAGAAAGCCGAAAACUGACUGUCAUGAUAUAGCGAGAGACUGGUCAACCACUCGAUCGACUACCGGAAUGUUUAGAAUUCCCCGCUUUGACGAAGGACCGUUUCCCGGUCAGGCACACACGCGCCCCGAACUCGGAGAAGUGUGGUGCCCCAAGGGGCUAUAUCGUAGCCCCACCCUCGAACUCCACUGGCUAAGUGAAAGUGAUAAAGCAUCAUAGUCCGGAUUGCCUUGUUUGCUACGCUAUCACCUCCUUAACAGGACCAAGACGCCGGAUUAAGUGUGAAAACGCGCUAUUUUUGCGAACACCCCCGCACCUUGUGCGUGGGGGCUGAAGCCGAAGACUGCAAUCUUUCAGGUUAUACAAAUGUAUAUGUAAACGGCCGCACAUGAGAAAUUUUACUACUUGGGACACACAAGUAUAAAAAGCAGUUACAGCAUAAUCAUCGUUUUACAAGCUAAAACGUUCAUUUGAACAUGACAUUUUUUGAGCACUGCGACUCUAUUACACGAGCGCCACGCAUAACUUCCCCAAAAUAGUGCUCGGCAGGGAGCCGGCUUUCAUCCGAACCCUGGGCGGCAAUAGUGGCGGCAUCCAUCUCUGUCCAAUGUGUCUUCACACGGGCAAGAGCCAUCCAUGCGCCUUCGAUGCAGGCCGACUGCUUCAUCUCCUUGAUAUGCGGCACCGCUCCUAGAAAUUGUUGCAGUAAGCCGAAAUAGCUCAUCGCCUUGGGCCUCUCUGGCCAGACAUGAGCCACGAUGUCAGUCAUGGCAAGUCCGGACAAUCUAUUCAGCUCGGCCCAUUCGGCCAACCGAUCGGUCAACGGAAGUGAAUGAUCCGGACUCUGGAAUUGAGACCAGAAUAGCUCUUCCGUCUUGUGAUCCUUCUGGCUUCGGAAGUGCUCAACGGCAUCAUCCGCACUUGCCGCUAAGUCCAUAUACGGAUCCUCCAGACUCCACAGCUGGACAAGUUGAGCAUACUUUUGAUCCGUAAACCGGCAACGCAGCAGAAAAGGCUUGCCAGCCACGAUAUCUCCGGCCUGGCACAGCUCCUCCUUCAUGGCCCGCAUUGCAGAACGGGCAUCCUUGGCCUCGGCGGUGGCCUUCCCCAGGUCUUCCCGCUCCGAUAAGCGCUCCUUUUCAAGAGCCUCAUUGCGGUCGGCAGCAUCUUUUAAUUUCACGGCCAAUCUGGCCAUCUCUUCCCUGCUUAGGCAGUGUGCAGCCUUUUCGGCUUUCAACUCCUCGGCUGCCCUCGAGGCAUCCGCGUCACUCCUUCGGGCUUGCUCCUUAGCUUGAGCAAGUUCGGCCCGAAGGCUCUCCACAGUAGCAGCACCAUCUGUAUCAUAGCAUAUAAUUUAUCAGAGGAGGGCUUUGACCCCCUUAAUAAAGCGACUGUGGAAAACUCAUUUACCUUGCGACUCGUCAAGUCGCCGGUUGACAAGUGCGAUGUCCGCAUCCGCCACGUCAAGUUGCCGCAUUAACUCGGCAACUCCAGUAGUCCGGCUAGCCCUCGGACUAUCCGCCACCUGCAUAGGAACGGCGACAUUCAUUACUUGCGAUUUUGAUCCUCGGCACGCUGUCGUUUUCGACAACCUACCGAGUCUCAGGGGCUACUAUCUAUACAGGGCGCACUUUUAUGUGCAAAACUGUCAAAAAAAAGGUGUGUCAUUCCCGCGUACCUCAAAUCCCGCCAGCAAACUCGUAGCGGCAUUACGCAAUCCGCUCUCGGCGGACGAAAUCCUUCCAAUCACCAUACGCAUCAACGCACGGUGAUCUUCUGAGAUGGACGCCCUCUCAAGCAGAUUUUUCAGUUCUCCCGGCCGGAUACUAGCGGGCGCCGAACUCUCCGGCCCCUCCGGACUCGGGGAUACCCUCCGUGACGAUACUUCAGGCUCGUCUGCCCUAUCUGACGGCGCAGCAGACGGAGGCGUUUCGCUCUCCAUCAUCUCCGGAAGAAGGUCCCCCGAAGACGAACUCAUCUGAGAAGGCUGCAGAUCCGAACUGCAAGAUAAAAAAUACGGUUACCCACAGAAGCACGAAUGGAGGUAUUUUCUUACUAAUGAACUCCUCCUUUCAUACUCACGGCUCGCUGGAGGGCUGAUCCUUUGGCAAUGAUUGUACGUACGGAUUCUCCUCGGACGCCGGACCCCCCGGUGAAGAUCUCUUCCCCCGUUUCGGGGCUUUAGCCUCCGGAUCUUCGGAGGCGGUCCUCUUCUCCCCCCUGGAAGGAGGGGUUUUUUAUUCCCCCCUCUUCAGACGCCCCUUCGGGCGAAAUAAAAGCUCCUCUAUUUUCCCCGUCGCUCCCUUCUACGGGCGCGACCUCCAACAUUCUGACCAGCACGGGCUCCAGUGCGGUCUCUGGGAGGGGAGCCGGACACCUUAUCAGCUUCGAUCGCGCUACCCACUCCUGUGAAGAAUAAUGGGUCAGGAGGCGAACACUAGAAAGGCAGAUAAAUAGAACGUCCGAACUCUGAGCUAUUUACCUGAGUAUCCGGGCGAUUGCAGCUUAGGCCUGCGUCCUCGGUCAAUUCCGGACACGCCACCUGCGGUCCGAAGAACAACUGGUACAUCUCCACGGGUGUCGCACCCAUGAAGUGUUGGAGAAUCCGAGGUCCCUCCGGGUUGAACUCCCAUAGACGGAGAGGACGGCGUUUGCAGGGCAGAAGACGCCUGAUUAGCAUAACCUGCAUCACCACGACUAGAUUGAUCUCCCUCGCUUGGAGGUCUCGAAUCCGGCCCUGCAAUGAGGGCACGUCUUCGGACGGCCCCCAAUUGAGCCCUUGGUUGACCCACGACAUCAGUCGGCGUGGAGGUCCCGGGCGGAAUGAAGGCGGCGGCUUUUGCUUGCUGCCCUUCGGAGCGGUGAUAUAGAACCACUCCUGCUGCCACAGUCCGAGUUCCUCUUGGAAGGAACCCUCGGGCCACGGGGCAUCGGCCCUUUUGCUUAUGGCCGCCCCGCCGCACUCCGCUUGACGCCCCCCGAUCAUCUUCGGCUCCACAUUGAAGGUCUUCAGCCACAAGCCGAAGUGGGGAGUGACGCGGAGGAAGGCUUCGCAGACGAUAACGAAUGCGGAGAUAUGGAGGAUGGACUCCGGAGCCAAGUCGUGAAAAUCCAGCCCGUAGUAGAACAUGAGCCCUCUCACGAAGGGGUCCGUCGGGAAGCCUAAACCCCGACGGAGGUGGGAUACGAAGACAACGUACUCACCAGGCUCGGGGGCAGGCACGUCCUGCCCUUGGGCGGGCAACCUGUGCGAAAUCUCGUAGGAUAGGUACUUGGCCUCACGCAGCUUCAAUACGUCCUCCUCCGUGACAGAGGAGGGCAUCCACCGGCCCUGGAGGUCGGAGCCGGACAUGGUUAAGAAUCCGAAGCGCUCGAAUCUGAGGCUUUGGGUGUUGGAACUGGGAGCGAGGAGGAGAUUCGAUGCGAGAUUGAAGAAAAACGAACCUUGGUCCUCUUAUAAAGGGGAAAAAUACCAAGGGUCGUCUCCGUGACCGUUCGGGAUUCACCCUCGAUGGAGGAGGCGUGGCGACGGGCAUGGUUGGGUUACCCACGCACGUAUUGAUGAAUCCCGGAAUAAGGGGAACAGGAUCUCUGCUUCGACAAGACGUGCCAAGGAAACCGCUUCGCUAAACGCGCUGAGGUGGUAUAAUAAAAAACGAUUCAAAUAAAAACCUGGUAGCGGUGUGAUGCCAUGCCGCAUAAUACGUCAGUAGAUUGGACUUGUGUACAUUUUAUUCUCUCUACGGUGGAAUGUGGAAUUUAUUUUGCAGAGUCGGACACUAUCCUGGUGUUCAUGAUCUUCUCUGGAUUAUUCAAGGGAGGAACCCGCCUUGCAAUGCCGAACAUUAUGCGCGCUGGACUUAUCGUCAUUGAAGCCUGGUUCAGGGGCUACCGAGGGAGUCCUGGACUAGGGGGUGUCCGGACAGCCGGACUAUCAUCGUCCGCCGGACUCCAAGACUACGAAGAUACAAGAUUGAAGACUCCGUCCCGUGUCCGGAUGGGACUUUCCUUGGCGUGGAAGGCAAGCUUGGCAAUACGGAUAUGUAGAUCUCCUACCGUUGUAACCGACUCUAUGUAACCCUAGCCUCCUCCAGUGUCUAUAUAAACUGGAGGGAUUUAGUCUGUAGGACACAACAUACAUUACAACAAUCAUACCAUAGGCUAGCUUUAGGGUUUAGCCUCCUUGAUCUCGUGGUAGAUCCACUCUUGUACUACCCAUAUCAUCAAUAUUAAUCAAGAAGGGCGUAGGGUUUUACCUCCAUCGAGAGGGCCCGAACCUGGGUAAAACAUUGUGCCCCUCGUCUCCUGUUACCAUCCGCCUAGACACACAGUUCAGGACCCCCUACCCGAGAUCCGCCGGUUUUGACACCGACAACGGGCAUCUCCUCCGCAGGGCGACCUGUGAGUAUACCUACAAGACAUAUUUUGUCAAUUGACUUCCUCGCCAAACUCUUCUUUUCAAAGGAGUCCGCUCAAGCACUUACUAUAGAUGCCACGACGAAGCCGCUCAGUCUCCUUAACGGAGCCGGACAGCUCGGCCCGAACACCUUUCAGCUCUUCUCCGAGCUGGGUGUGGGCAUCCUGGAGCUUGUUCCUUUCCUGCUGCACCCUAUUCAGCACCCUCUCGCCGGCCUUCAGCUGGCGCAGUAGUUCUUGCCUAUCCGGAUCUUGUCCGGCAGCACCUGCAACGACAUUAUUAGACUUGCACGCACACCGCACACCACUUAUCUUUUUAAAAUAAUGUGUUACCAGGAGGGGUCUCUGUGUUUCCUCCUGCGGCAGCAAGUGCGGCCUCGAGUUGGGCCUUGCACUCUUGCAGCUCCUGAGACAGUUGGGUAUUCUUCUCCGUAAGACCCUGCGUUUCAAAUGAUCCUUAAAUCAGUUAAUAUAACUACUUUAAGUCUCGGGGGCUACUGGCACGUACAACUAUUAAAUUCUCUUACCCGUAUGUCUUUUACAUACUGCUCCGUUGCUCUGGUAAAACCAUCUUGAGCCGCACGGAGGUGCGCGUCCCCCGUUUUAAAGGCAUUCAACGCCUCAGGGGAGAAGCACGCGUCAUGAAAUACUGUCUGGCAGCGCCUGUGGUUCAUGGCGCUCUCCACCUGAGACAUGGUGGCGGACAGUCUGUCGGCAUCCUCCGUUGGAGGAGUGUCCGGCUCGCGCCUUGCGCUCGCCUCCCCCUCCAGACCAGGUGCUGGAGCCUGGCUGGUAGAGGUUGGAUUGGCAACCUCUACGCCCGCAGUCCGGCGGGCGCUUUUUCUCCUACAAAAGUCAUGAGCACUCAAAGGCUUCCUAGGAGCGUUGCUCCAAAUAAUUAACUGUGAGCUAUACCUUUGCGGCGACGUUUCAGUCCGCGCCGCGCUCCUCUUCCGCCUACUGGUCCGGACUGGCCUUUGUUGGUCAGCCGCUGCGGGCUCGGCUUCCCGCCUUGAAGGCGCUUCCUGCAAAACACCAUCGUAUGCGAAGGUCAGAAAUGAGCAAGGAAGAGAUAAUGGUGUCGGGACUUCGGUCACAAUCACCUGGGAAGCCGGAUAUAGUCCGGGGUAGUCAGCCGUAAUGGUGACUAAAGCAUUAUCAAUGCUGAGCUGAUGGAACACCCCAUCGAUUAGCUUCACCUUUAUGUCCGGAUCCUCUUCGGAGGCCGGAUCCUGGGAUCUCUCUGGAUCCUCGGGUUGCGGAGCUGGACUUAGCAUGUCCUCCACAACCCGACGCAGCUCCUGCAUUGAAAACAUGAUAUAAGAAAUUUAAACUUUGAAAGCAUGGGUCGGGCCCGUAAAGUGUUCGCUCACCCAACGCCGAGGGUUAUUCAUGGAGAACCCAUUCAACGGGUUUGUCCGGAGAAAGUCCUCCUUCUCCCCCUUGUACAGGCCGGACAGGAUCUUCGCCAGAUCCUCGGCCGAAUCCGGUCCUUUGCGGCCAUGACGGGUGGCAUCGUCCUCCCCGUUGAAAUCCCACAUGGGGUGGCCCCUGUAUUGCAGUGGCUGCACCCCCCGCGUAAUGCAUGUUGCCAUGACUCCAAUCAUGGUCAACCCGGAAUGGGCCAAUAAUCUUAUCCGGCCCAUCAAAUAAUGGACGCUCUUGUCUUCCUCCAAUUGGGGGCUCCGCGGACGCCAACUGAGGCGUUUCUUCAGGGGAGCAUUAAUGAACUCCGGGAGGCCGAUCCGAACAGGGUCCGGCAGCGGAGCGUCUUCUAUGUAAAACCAUUCCGAAGGCCAGUCUUCGGACGCCUUCUUAGGGGUUCCGGAUGGAUAUCCGGUCCUGGCAAUGCGCCAUAUUUCGGCGGCGCCCACUUGAUAUAUGGACCCCUCGUGAGAGCGGGGUACAAGGCAGAACAACCUCUUCCACAGUGCAAAAUGGGGCUCAACGCCCAGGAAUAGCUCGCAAAGAGCUACGUAACCCGCGAUAUGCAGGAUAGAGGCGGGCGUAAGGUGAUGGAGCUGGAGUCCGUAGAACUCCAGGAGCCCGCGGAGGAACGGAUGUAUAGGAAACCCGAGCCCCCUUAUCAGAUAGGGGACAAAGCAUACCCGCUCCCCUUUGUUGGGACUUGGGGUAGCCUCCGCUUGCUUCCCACCUUGGUAGGUGGCCAACCCGGCUCGAACCGGGACCAUGAAGGCCGGAGGGAGAUAUCCCUUUGCUUGGAGCGUCACCAGCUCAUUGUGCGGGACAGAACAUCUCCUCCAAUCUCCUAGCGGAGGGCUAGGAGCGCGAGAGGAGGAGCCGCGUCGACGGUCCAUGAUAGAAUGGAUUCUUGGUCAGAAGCGCUCUGAUGAGUACUCGCGGAAGGAAGAUGGUGUGAUUUGGAUCUGGAUUCUUGCCUCUCUUAUAGGCAGACUAUUUGCACAGCUAGGGGGUAAAACAUAAAAGAUGCCUUGGCUUUUCGCAUUCGUGCGAUGCGUGGAAGAUGGCCAUUAUUGGGCGUGGAAGCCAAGAAGCGCAACAUUGAUAAGGGAGCCGGACACUGUUCGGCAAACACACGGAAUUUGGAGGAGAACCCGCCUUGCAACGCUGAAGACUAUAUACGCGCCGGAAUUAUCGUCAUUGAAGCCUGGUUCGGGGGCUACUGAGGGGUCCUGGACUAGGGGGUGUCCGGACAGCCGGACUAUCAUCGUCCGCCGGACUCCAAGACUAUGAAGAUACAAGAUUGAAGACUUCGUCCCAUGUCAGGAUGGGACUUUCCUUGGCGUGGAAGGCAAGCUUGGCGAUACGGAUAUGUAGAUCUCCUACCAUUGUAACCGACUCUGUGUAACCCUAGCCCUCUCCGGUGUCUAUAUAAACCGGAGGGCUUUAGUCCGUAGGACACAACAACCAUUACAACAAUCAUGCCAUAGGCUAGCUUCUAGGGUUUAGCCUCCUUGAUCUCGUGGUAGAUCCACUCUUGUACUACCCAUAUCAUCAAUAUCAAUCAAGCAGGAGUAGGGUUUUACCUCCAUCGAGAAGGCCCGAACCUGGGUAAAAACAUCGUGUCCCUUGUCUCCUGUUACCAUCCGCCUAGACGCACAGUUCGGGACCCCCUACCCGAGAUCCGCCGGUUUUGACACCGACAGUAGUUAAGUAAUAAUGUUUGGUAUAGCAGCCUUUCCGAGCGAGUCUCUGGGAUCUCCUGUAAACCCCCAUGAUGUGGUAAAGGGAGGAUAUUAGGGGAAGCGGUGAGUGGAGAUUCCCCUGCGGGGAGCCGGAUGAGGGGAGACCCUCACGUCCGGUUCGGAGGGCGGGGAUAUCCCGACCCUACUAUCAUUAUGCCUUUGCAAUGUUACUUGGUUCAACUCCAUUUGUGACCUUUUCUCGUAUGUGGGACUCUCUAUCUUCUUGGGUAGAUUCUAGACCGUCUUUCAUUUUGUUAGUGAGUAGUUUUCUUAUUAAUAAGUCAAGUCAAGAGUAAUAAGAGAACUGUAGGAGCUUGCCAGGACGGCUUGGUAAGCAAGCUACCUGUUAUGUAGGCGCCAACUCCCAAUUCUUUCCCUUCUUUCUUUUUGAUUUUUUAUUCUCAUUUUUUUACUAAAUGUAUAAUCUCCUUUCCGGGGAAGGGGUAACAUAGAUGGAGGCACAUGUAGACAGAUACAUACUUUUUCAAUCUUUUGCCUAAGAGAAGUAGUUGAUACCUCCGAGGUAAGGGCGAAUCGAGACCGAAAGCGACUAAUAAAAUAGCAUAAUCUGAACACAUAGCUGAACACAUUGUUUAAGUAGAAACUGUUAAAGCUCCCUGGUCUCGAGACGGCCGGCUUUGGUUCAGCUCUCGGGGCCACCUUACACACUAAUAAAAUCGUCAGCUUCAUUCCCCACUCAUCGCCCUCACUUUAAGACAAAAAAUCCAAUUCGAUUCAAAGAUCGGAAUCAUACCUCCAGCGGGCAAGGUCGGCUCAAGAAAUGGAAGUUGUGAGAUGGAAAGAAAACCACGAAAAAAGAACUGUAUUAGGGAUCAAUCCAUACGCGGCUUGCCUUCUCCCCUUACCCUUAGUAAGCCAGCCAAUAGAAUAGUACCCUAACUUAAGAAGUUCUCUUAGCUAGCGCAUGUCCAUUAUGUGACCACCGCAUGCUCCUGCAUGAGUUUCAUGAAUGGUUUGUUUUCGAAUCCUAUCUCUCUGGGGAAAGGUAUCUUUUUUCAAUUCGAACAACGGUAUCCCUACCUGGCAAACUAUCCUCGUUUUCGAAGUCCCUAGUUUUGUCCUCUGCUGUAGUAUUCCGGUUAGUAGACGGCUUCCUUCAUUGGAAAUCUAGCCAGUGCUUUCCAUUAGGUGUGCAAGGAAGGAUAGCCUUGCUUUUCUUCUGAUUCUGAUUCAGUCCAAAGAUAGAGACAAAAGAAAGGUAAUUAUUGAAUCGGACUUGGCCUCUUUUUCGGCAUGGGCAAAGGUUUGGCAAUUCCACCAUUAGCAAAGGUUUAAUUGGUUGACGGUAUCCUUGGCGAAAGGCACCUGGUGAGAGUAGCUGAUGCUGCUGUGCUACCUCCAACUAUGAAGUUCAGCACAUGAACAAUACAGAGUACUUUGUUUCCAAAAACAAUACAGAGAACAAGACCACAAGAAAACAAUUUAAAAGAACUACUUUUAGGCAGCAGCAUCUGGACAACAGGCUUAAAAGCUUCUAGAAAAAUGAUAGCACAGACAGCCGAAACAAUUUUCCUCAUAUUUCUUUAACUUGACCUUUUUGCAGUACAUCUAACAACAUAUAGGGGAAUGCCUUUUUUAUAUUACAUUUGCACCAAACCAAGCUAUUCUUAAUACUAAUUCCUUUGCAUAGAUACUUUCCAAAGUGCUGAGAAUAGCAACAGAGAGAAAACGCUACAGAAGAUAUCACAAUUGAAUUACUAACUUGGUACUUGUUCAUAGAUUUUCUAGCAUCUUCAAUAAGCUUUGAUUCUUACUCAAGUAGUUUGAUUUGUAGUGUCGUUUUUUUUCUUGACUAGUAGUGUAGUUAGCAUGCCUUCCGUUCCUUGCUUUCUUAUGCACUUUUGAAUUAAAGACGACCUUUCAAUUCAUUAUUGACUAGAUAAAGUAGUAUUAGUUAAUAUACGCUGAUUCAGACAAAUCAAAAAUAAGAGAUAGUCUUUUUCGAUACUGUAUGCUGGGACAGACCUGUAGGUGAGCACAAGCACAGCCAGCCUUCCACCUCUUUAUACUUAUGUUUAGCAGUGUACCUGGUCUUACUUCUUUUUCAGUUUACGCUUGUGUCCCAAGCUUGCAAGUUCGAAGAAGAGUAUUGUAUUGACCUGAAUCAAGUUGUUUGCCUACCCGCCAUUAUGUCUUAGCUAGGAAUGAGCUGUGAACAAAAUCGAAAUAGUUGUUACUUGAGUCGAUAAUGACUUUGUGUCGGUUUGCUAUUUUCUAUAAAUUGGACUGGUACCAUGUAUUGUAACAUAAGCUUUUAUAUAAGAGCUGAGAUGUAGUUAAGAUUACACUGGAUCCUCUCUCUGUUUUGUUGCUUCCUUCCAUUAUCUCCAACAACUGGUAUCAACACUAGGAACCUUCACGGUCAGGGUUGAUUUUCUUAGACCACUAUGAACACUUGUAAUUGGUUCUUUCUACUUCAGGCAUGGUUCUCUCUAGUUAGUGGAAGAGUGCACAACAUAGGGAUUGGUAUCAGUCACACAUUUAGGAAAGAAAGUGAAAGGGGAGGGCAAGAGCGGUUCGAAGGUCAAUGAAAUGAUAAAAAACCACCAGGUCGAGUUCGCUUCUCCCUUCCUUUUGGUGUUUAGGAUGUGAAGUUUAUAUAAGAAGAGAGGAAAGGGGAACUGCGCUAAAUGGAUAAUUUCAUCCUGGUGAUGGGCUAUUCCAAUGGGCAUGCAUCUGAGAUAUGGGCUUUGAGCGUAGGAACGCCCACCUUUACAAGAGCUCAGUUCUAAGAUUGUUUGCGCGCAGGCACCACUACUAUUCUGUCUUUUCUUGUUAUGCAUCCGGUCCUAGAAAUCUUUUUUUUCUGACCGGAGGAAGAGAAAUAAAAACGUCACUUCGCUCGCCUUGGGGGACCUAAUUAGAAGCUGGUUGAUUUCUUUAAUAGAUAUGAAGAUGCUUUGAAUGAACCCAAGCAAGCCAAAAUAGAAUACUAUAAGUAUGAAGCGGACAUCUAUGGUUUAAUUAGAAACAUCUCUUUUCUAUUUAGAUUUUGCCAGUGCCUCCCUUUGUGGCAGAGCGAGCGCCUUGACUAAGAUAGAUUGACUCUUUCAUUCUUUUUUUAUUUUAUUCUGGUUCCAAUCGUUUGAGGAAAACCCCCUUUGGCAUUAAUGAAACUCUGUUAUAUAGGAGUUCAAAAACCUCAUUUCGUUUGAGAGAUAGUGGAAUUUCUUCUUUCAACACGUACAUCGACGAGGGUGUCGAUGACUUGAGUGAGGAAUGGUCAUGUGCUAGAGGCCGUACCUUUGGAGUAAGACCUCAACAAGGGGGUGUGCAGUUUAAAUGUAAAUGACGAGCAUGGAGAGGCCAAGGUCAUUUGUAAUUAGGUGCGGCUGAUGCAAGAAGACUAGCGAGCUGUCCAUGGUGAGAAUAGUUGUGAUGCUACUGCAGGGGGCAUCCUGGUGUAGUUGAGGGCGCAGAACUUCUGUGCGGGUACAACUGACACUUAAAAGACCUUCCGUGUAGAUGAGUUCUCUUGAGUGAGACUAAUCGAGUUACGAAGAAACCUUUGUGAUGGUGCUGUGCAGUUGGGUUCUCUAUGGAGGAACUUCGUUGUGGGGACCAAGGGGUCUUCUUAAGAAGAGUUGCUUUGAUGAAAAGAGUGUAGCCAUGAUGGCAAGUCAAAGUGGGGCCCUGUGAAGGCAAGCCUUGUGUAUGUUGGCGUGAUGACGAGAGAAAGGAAAUGCCUAGGAACAAUAGCUGUCCGUAGCACACCCUGCAAUGACUUCGACCAGCGGACCAGCCUAUCUAAUACCCUACGCCAUGACCUUAGAAGUUCGUACCCCAUGAUAUUCAAUGACACCCGUAGACAUUUGAUCAUUCAUACCUCACAGUACGCUUUCUUUCUUUUUUUGGACUUUGAAUUCCAAGCGAAGGAAGCUCAGUGAAAGAUAGACUGGGAUUUGACAGCAAGAAGAAAGCAAUCAUAGUACGCGGCACACACCGCUGACGAAUGAGAUUGACGUCCCAAACCAACACAGGUUCAAGACUAAGUGCAGAACCAAGAAUGCCGUGGAUAGAAAAGUGAGGGCUUCCUCAAGCUUCAUGAAGGAAGGGUCCAAGGACCUAAGCGACAACCUCUACGAAAAAGAAAAACCUAUAUAUAGAUAGUGGUAUGUGUUUGCUGACACUAAAUAGACUUGGCUCGGGGCAGAACUGAGUGGCUAGGCUAAGUUCCCUAGUCUUCUAUUGGCCUACCCACCCCUACGACAUGGAGGCGCUUACCCUUCUCCAACAAGCGUUCCACCACGCGAAGAUUGAUUACCGCUUUCCGUCUCAAUCCGUUCCAGACCAAGCCCCUUCUCUGAUCGGGGGAAGGUCAUUCUAAAACAUCAGAUCUCCCAUUGAUGCUGAUCAAAAAUAAGUUUAUCCACCUAGAAUAUAUGAUAGGUACCGAAAGAUUGGAUGUCAUUUCUCAACACCAGGCGGGACGAGCAGCCCUAUACCAUGUGUAGCCACACUCUAGUGUCCUUUUCUACUUAGUUGGACAGAUCACUUUAGAAAAUCGUAUAAAAAUCAAGCAAGAAAACGGAUGCGCUAACGCGCAACGGCUUCGCGCUAGUUGCUCAAAAAAUCAUAUAAAAAUCAAGCAAGAAAAAGGUUCUGGCAGGCUGCGUGGGACUGUAAAUCCUCUUUCGCUGGCUGGGCCCUUUGGACUCGAAAUCCAAACGGAGUGAGUGGUUCGAUUCCACUCUCAGAAUGAGACUGAACGAAAUAAAAUGCAAGUGAAACGAGACGAGAAUCAAAUUGUAGGCUUCUUUCCUAAAAGCGGUGGUUCUCACCUCCCCGUGCCCAAAGCGGGGUGGGCGACAGCGCUGCGGUUCUUUUUUUUAAUGAUCGGGUAGAUCCAUAUGUUCUGAGGGGGGGACGAGGUGUAGCGCAGUCUGGUCAGCGCAUCUGUUUUGGGUACAGAGGGCCAUAGGUUCGAAUCCUGUCACCUUGAUGUGGUAUUCACACAAUGGGGCCGAAGUGCAAAGCCCCGCAGCCUAUCCGUGGUCGGGAAGGCAGGGGUAUUAAAAGUGAAACUUGGCUUGCGUGUGCGCGCACACAAAGGAGACUGAGUUGGAUUGCAAAGCCUCUCAGACGGAAGGAACCUGUUUUAAAAACCCCUUUCUACAAUCUUGAGAAAUCUCACGCAAGCAACUACACGCCGCAAGUCUUCGGUAUUGUUCGCAAGGAAUUUGAAAAGAUUGACUCCGCUUUUUUUCUUUUCGAGCAUGCCAAGCCUCUAGUAGAGCGGAGUUCUGUGCAUGAAGUAGGCGCAGUUUACAAACUAGUGAAUGGUCAAAUGAAUAGGCUCGUUUCAUCAGGGGUAACCAAGGAGUAAGAAUGAUUUGAUAAAGUAAACAUUCCCUUUGAGUGCGGUUCCUUCAGAACAAGCUCUUCCCUUUUCAGAUUGCUUCUUUGGGCCACUUGAGCAUCGACUGGGCAAGGUUGGAUUCCCUCUACUUUGGGUGGCUACUAUUUCUCAACAAUGUUUUUUCAUUUGAUCCAAUAGCCCUCCGUUAGAUAGAACAGCUUUGCUAAAUACUGAGAACUCUCGAAUAGAAUAUGAGAAGGGAAAGAUACUUUACAUAAGGAACUACUGAUCAUAGGCAUACACUCUGAAAAGAAUUGAAUGAAACUCUCUUGUUUCGUCAACUUUGAUACCAUUAGAUGUCUCUGUAGCUGGCUCUCAUGUCUGGUGUUCCAAGUAAAAACUUUUCAACUAGCUGGGUCACUGCUGUUUUAAACCCUGACUUGGAAUCAGAGCCAUAAACGAGUGAUUCGGUCGGAUGGACGAUUGAGUUCUUAAAGCUUGGAUCGGCACUUCUUGUGUUGAAACAAACACGCUGUUGCUAGCGCCCUCAACGCUCUCUUCGAUCCUUCGCAAACAUAGCUCCUUCCACGGGAGAUAACUUUUGAUCACUUUCAUCUCAAUUCUUUUCAUUGGCUGGUCGAGUGGAUGAUUAGACAUAGGCGGAGUAUUCAAGUUGUCCCUACUUCAAGUUGUCCCUACUAACUAACGGGUCUAAUUAUCGCUGGCUCACAGGCUCCUUCGAAGCAAACAUUCGCAGCGCCCCUCGCAUUCAAGCUCUUGCUUUGUCCUGCGGCCUGCCCUCUAAGCAAAAGCAAGAUCUAGACAAGAGUGAAAAGCAGUCAGAAUAUUAAUAAUCUAAAAAGGCCUUCCUUGGUUGUGUAGCUAAUCCCCCUCCUUGACAAGAACAGAAUUUUUGCAUCUUCAAACUGGUUAUGGGUGAUACCCUCAUUCCCCAUUAACUCACUAGAAAGCCCUUUGAAUAAGCCUCAGGAGCACCCAUUCCUUUUGGAUCAGGGGGUGGUUGUUUUAACUACUCGUUCGGGGAACAUUAGACAAAGUUACUUAUUUGAGAAAGUAAAUGAACCUGAAAUAGGACCUAUGUGAUAGUUUGCAGCAUGAGCAUGUAGAUGCUGGUUAUGGUAUCAGAUCUGAGGACCAAGAAUUUCAAAAGGAUAGUAUUAGACUCAAUAAUAAGCUUUCAAAACAUAACUUCUCAUAUUUGGUCUGUGGGCUACCAUGCUUAAGCUUUCUUAUCUUACUCUUUCCACUAACGUUAGGACUUAGGCGAGCUGCUGAACACGAGACACUUCUUUCUUGGCCGUGCGUGGUCUUCCCUCGGGGAUGGGAGAAUAUAGAAGGUGGGUGGGUGGAUCUCUAUUCUCCAUAAGGAUAGGGUUGAUUUGAUUGGCAUUCAUGCCUUUUAGAAAGAGCCACUCAAUGCAAUUCUCUUUUAGGUGAAGAGAGUAUGCCCAACUGGAGUGGUUUCCGCCUAUAUUCCUACUAAUGUAAUCUCCAUUACAGAUGGACAAAUCUUCUUAUCUGCGGAUCUAUUCCAUGCCAGAAUUCGACCUGCUAUUCAUGUGGGUAUUUCACUUUCCAGAGUAGGAUCAGCGGCUCAAAUGUGCCGCAAUGAAACAAGUAGCUGGCAAAUCCAAAUAGGAACUAGCUCAAUUCGUAGAGUGACAAGCCUAUUAUUCGCCUCUGCCCUCGAUAAAACUAGCCAGAAUCCAUUGUUUUUAUGACGGGAAUUGCUUAAACAAUCCCAAUCAAACCUUCUCCCAGUGGAAGAACAGAUAGCUACUAUAGCUACCGGAACGAUAGGAUAUCUUGAUUCGUUCGAAAUUGGACAGGUCAAGCUAUUUCUGGACUGGAUGAGUUACGUAAACACCUCAAAGAUACUCAUUCCAAGAAAUUUGAUCUUCUAGCCAGCUUCUAGCCAGGUGGAUAAGGAUGGAAUCUGGUAUCCAAGAAGAGGAUGUUGGACAUUCUUCAUCCCGGAGGGCCGGGGAGAGGAGAGAUAGCAUCACUCUGACUUUGCCGGAAGGAGGAAAAUCCAGAGUUGGCUUUGGGAGAAGAGAAGGAAGCUCUCAGGUUUAGUGAUUCAUACCUGUCCCGUCUUUUGUUUCCAGGGUUUCGAUUUCUGGUCCAGAGCUAGUCUACUUAUUUAUUUUAUACGAAAACGGAAUUUUGCAUAUUAUACGGAAUUUGUCAUACCAGGUUUUCCUAGAGUUGAGGAAUUCUAUCCAUUCUAGGAAAAGCACUAGUUUGAGAAACUACACUACAGGAAAGUACUAAGGAAUAGGAAGCUGCUACUUAUACUUCUUAUUCUUGUCCAAAGAUGCCAGGCCAAGACAGAAACCCAACUAGUGAAAUAGAACGGAUCUCUCUAAUAAACUGGGGUUCUUCUCUUCGGGUUGCUGGUAUCAUUAUAUGGAUCCGUGUUGUCUCCUCGGCUCGAUAGGCUAGCAAAGUCAGUUCGUUGGAUUGGUCUGUCCGGUCUGUCAGUCAGGAAAGCACGUCAAGUCGUUUAAUAGCUCUGGUCCGGUUUCUAACUUGGUGAAUUGGUAUGGUUUGGAGGCCCGGCAAUGACAAUAGCAGACAGGUCAGUUGUUCAAGUCCGUCUGGUUGAUAGGUCAGCUCGGUAUAGAAUCUUGUCUGGUUUCUGAAGUCGGUAAAGUACAAUCAGUAGAGUGCUAGUUAAGUUCCUCAAGUAAGGAUCUUUGAUUCCUCCAAUUCGGUAGGUAAUCAUAAUAGUCUCGGCUCGGAAUGCGAAGAUGCUGCUAAUCUGUUAAAGGGAUCUAGAUCGCGUUUAUUUGAUAUGCGUCCCUUCUUCAAUCCCGGAUGUGUACCUGACGCCAGGGAAUAACGUAGUUCUAAAGUAGUGACUCGUGUCUUGGAGGUCGUCCAUCCAAAUGUUCCUCUUUGCCAUUGCCCGCGUCUACUCCUAUAACCGAAUCGAUGGCCUAUAGCGCCAUGCCAUAAUGAAAUUCUUGAUCAUUUCUUUGUUCGUAACAUGGCGUAGUGUAUCACUGGGUGCCACAAUCCCAUUCAAUUCUUGUCCAUUCAAUACCAUGGAUAUAUCGAUUUUAUUUUCAGAAAGCUCCUAUUUUGAUUGAUAUCUCUAGCAAAUAUAUGCGUAGCGUAUGUCAAGAUAAAGUAAAUCAAUCCGUAUGACGGCAGGGAGCGGAGGCAGCUUCAACUCAAGUGAGGAGCAAGCUUACCUCGGGCGGGUAGAUUGAUCGGCUCCUUCAUAUCUCGGGAUUUUGCUUAGGCCACCCAGGCCAUACCAUAGAAAAAAGAUCUGGUUUCCUUUCCCUCGUCAACCUGCCAUUCUUUUAUUUCACGAAAGAAUCUUUCCGUCCGUAUUGAGCAACUCAAAUUCCUAGAAAGCCAUUGGUGCACCCACCCAGUGAGUAACUACUAAUGCAAUGAGUAACUACUAAUGUUACGAACAAAGAAACUUUCAAAAAGUGGACCCAACAAGCAAAGCAACGGAUUGGGCUGCACUGCCUUUUGGCGUUUUAGUUAGGCGCAUCCUCUUGCGGGAUGAAAAUCUGCGAUAGCACGCUCCGCGCCUUUGAAGGAACAUUUGCUCGAUGAUGGUCCUACCCUACGCGGGCUUACUAACGAUGGCCAAGCACGCAGUCAUUCCCGUUCUAUUUGAUAGGGGAAGCAAGCUAGUCAAAGAAGAAGGAAGCAUGGGUAUAGGUAAGUCUAGACAUAUUGACACGGGCGUAUACUGAAAUAGGCAUAAGGCCGCUAACCCUAAGGAGACAUCACCGCUUCUUUGUUCGUAACUAGGACAUGUAUUGAUGCUAGAGGCAGACUCCUGGCACUUAUCACUCCUUAGAUGAAGCAAGACAAGAGUGAGUUCGCUAAGGGACAAGUAUGACUAAAAAAUGAUGGCAGAUUUUUAUGGAAACGAUUCUAUUUGAGUAUAUUGUCUCAUUGGGUUUGUCAUUGUCGAUAGCUAUUCUUGUCGCCGUUAGGGCUGGCCGGAUGAUCCAUCACAUAAAUGCUAUUAAUGUUGAAACACAAGUAACUGAUAUAUCCAAAGAUGUUCUUAAAGAACAAAUCAUUUAUCAAUUGGAAAUACUCUAUAAAGUCUAUAGAGAUACUAUUGAGGGUGUGCACUUACCGGCAGGAGUCAAUCUCCAAGAAGUAAGCACACAUCUCUUUUUUGUAGACGAGAGAGUGAGCCUUCUAAACAGUAUCUACUGUGAUCUUAUUGCAAAGGGAACUGGAAGUGAAUACUUUGGCCAAGUUAUACAAUUUCUUCUGGGAUAGCUUGUUUGGGGCUUUCCGAAGGGUCGUUCUGAGAGUGGUCUCUUUUCUUUAAGGUUGCAUAUAUUGUCGGAGAAUGGAGGGAUCCAGGCCAGGUCUAAAAGUGCCGAGUUGGGUUUGGGACAAGAUCAGGAAAUAGUGCAUCUUAUAUAGUGGGUGCCAACUUGAUUGCUGCCGGGAUUGCUUGAUAGGAAACUUUGAUUGAUACGAGCAGAUGUGAAUGAAUUGAAAUAGUCAAUAGUGGUGAUAUGAUCCCGGUAUCUACACUCGGAUCUACUUCUGCUACCGAGACUGCUGCUACUGUAAAAGCAUCAGGAACGUGUCAAUUCACUGAAUAAAGUGCUCUUUCCAUUGAUUUAUGGAUGAAAUCACGAAAAAGAGAAGGAACCACCGAUUCUGCAUCAAAAAUAGGGGUUCUGGAGCCAGUUUCUCAAAUCGUAAGUAGAUCCAAUCCAGGGCGGUUGAUAAGUGAGGUUCUCCGGUCGAAUGCAAAUAAGCCAGAGCAUAUCUCUUGUUUCGAGGAAGAAACAAACAUCCUGGUCUCAAUAGAUCUUGAUUCUAUGCAUGCGUCAGACACAUCACGGGCCAGAACAAAUGAGUGCUUUGAACUCACGAGCCGGAACAAACGAAGCUUUCAACAAUAAGCAAUACCCGAGCUUCCUUCUACCAACCAGGAUUCCGAUACCAAUUCCAAUCUGGCACAGCACAAGGAAGUAGCGCACCAGAAGAACCAAUACGAGAACCCUUCCUUCCAGCCAGAAUCCGUCUUGUGGAAACAAAAGCUAUUUUUUCGAGUCAAGCAAGCGGACAGUCAGCUAAGAAUACUGGAAGAGAAUUCUCUAGCCCUGCACUUAAACUAGACUAGAAAUCCGAAAAAACACUAGUUUUGGCCCAUAGCGAAAUAGAGUUUUUCUUCUCCGCGGACUCCCCAUGCUUGGCGCCAUAGGCUUUAGGACUUUUGGCACUAGGGAAUCAUACUUUGAUCAGAUCCGUGGAUAGGCUCCCGAGGUCAAAUCGGAUUAUGGACUUUUCCAGCUAAGUGAAAACGCACUUCACUACUAGCAAAGAAGUCAGCUAAGGGCAGGGCCAGUGGUAAUCUCAGAUAGGAACUUGCCGGGAUCCUUCCAUACCUGCCAUCCACCACUACUACUGAUCGUUUCCCAGAACGAGCCAUACCUUUUCCCAGAAUGAGAAUACGGCUGAGGACGAAUAGCAGCGCCUAGCUUUAGUUUCCACACGACACGAUGGAUCUAUCACUCUCUUUAGCCAGGCCAUUCUCUAGAGGAGAGUUCCGAGAAUGAAUUUCAAUCUGGUACCAAUCGUAGAAAUCGUAUUGUAGAGUUCUUCUCAUGCCUAGCACAGCUACAAGCAUUCCUCGAAUGCAGAGACAAGACGGAGGAUAUCUGAUCCCGCGGAACAUCUGCUACCAACUACGGAUUACCUUGUUUCCAUGAAAUCCAUGUUUCUGGCACCUUGGCCCCCUCUACCUACGAAAUUCUGAUUCCUAUGGUUGAAGAAAGUACAGCGUUGUCAAUUCAACCUGAAAAAAGGGGAAUAAGUUGACAAAGUCAGCUUGAAUAUUACAGUAUGGAUCAAAGGAAGCUAUACCCGCCUUGAUUUCUAUCAAACUUAUUAGAUAGUAAAGCAGACAAGUCUGAAAUGGAAUGUUUGAUCGGUAUAUGUAGGGCUCUCAAAAGAGAAUCUAUUUCAGCAUAGUUGAUUUUCAGAAGCCAACUAGAACUUCACAGCUGCCGUAUAGUUGAUUGUUCCCACCAGUUUCGUUCUCAUCUGGUCAGUUUCACGAAUGCAAGGAUUUACUACGACUCUCAGGUGUAAACCUUGGUCGUAUACAGUGGUGAACUAGCUAAAUAUAGCUAGAGGAGUAAUAUAGCUAAAUAUAGCUAUAGGGCAUUCCACAGAGGUGAAAUUCUCUCGGCAAAGCAGAACAAGAAGCAGCAGAAAGCAAAACAGUAUAAGGGUCGUUCGGAGUUCCAGGAACAAAACAAUUCUACAGAACUGGGUAUACCAAACAGUUGAUCAACAAGGCAAAUGUCCUCUAAACCAGCUAAACGGCUCACGAAUUGUUUGGAAUGCGACGGCAAAUGUGAUCUCCCAGCAAUAUCUCGAGUCCAAAACCUCACCCAUCUACAUAUAUCAUCAUCUGCGGCAAGAACAUAGCAACACCAAAAUCCUACCAGCAACUGCUGCAAUGCACCCUCCUCACGACAGCCAACCAUCGACGGUGUCAGACUAUGAUUCAGUUGCUGUACUACUCCUCUUUGUUCUGUUUCAUGUUUUUGGCGGUUUCGUUCUUGUGUAUGAGUCCGAAGAAGACGGUGGAUGUUGAUCCAGUAGCAAAAUUGUGCUUCCUGUUGCAGGAUUUAUGUAUCGUGCCGUGCGUAGAUACGGACGACAUGGAAAAAAUCCAGGUUUAUGUACGACAUGCUCUUUCCUUCCUUCAUUCGGUAACGCACAGAGGUGGCAGAGUCUUGUUCCUGGAGUCGCUCACAACUUUUGGGAGCACCGAGAUCCUGAAUAAGAUGCUGCACGAAUUGGCUGAGGUGUUGGGAGCCCCCAAUAGAGAAGGACGAUGCGGAAAGGUAAAAAGAGUUGUAGCCAUACGGAAUUCCAAUUGGAAUGGACCCAUCUCAUGAUACAAGUUACCCUAGAUUUCUUUCUAUUCCUAUUUCGCUGGGCAAUUCUAGUUUUUGUUAUGAUGAUCUCAUGGAUAGUAGUAUUGAGUUCUAUAAACAGAUUGAUAGUAGGUUUUAAGAUAGCUUAGCCCUUGCUAUGAUUCAAUUUGUAUUGGAGAAGAGGGGCGCCAACCCUAUGGGGAAUGUAGCUAUGCUGUACUUCUUCCUACUAGCUACGGUGCAGCACAUGUUCCUAGCUACGAUGCUGCUCCUGUCCGCCCCUUGAUUUAUCACCGCUUUGGUCUUUUAUUGGUCAUUGAUUUAUAGACGGGAGGAUAAGUACCCUGGCUCGACCCCAAGAUAUCGAUUUAGCAUUCCAUUAUCGGAUCUCCAAAACGGGAAACAAGAAAAGUAAUCGAAAUUGUGUGCCAGCGGGACAUACGAAAUUCACACUUUUUGACUCUCAAUCCACAGGUGGAGAUACCAGGGGUGGGUUUUCAUGGCCUAUAGUCUCCCCUGCCGACGAAGCACGAACUACUUGUUGAAAUCGCGGAUCCAAAUCUUGCAUUUCUCCUUUACUCGUCAAAGGCCUCGUAUUGUUAUUCCCAUGAUUCAUGUGGGCUAUCUGCUCUUUAUUGUAGGGUCCUACUCCCACCUAUCCUUAAAAAACGAUGUGAGUGGCUCAUACUAAUCAAAUGUACAAGUAACUGACCCUUAUCAAGCUUUCCACACAUAGUGUUUUGAUCUAAGAUUGCAAUUCUUCCAUGUUUCCGCAGUAGCAUAUUGUUCCAUGGAGCUAGGGUCCAAAAUAGGAAUCAACAAGUGUUUCCACGACUCUACCGCCCGGCCAAUCCUGUUCCACUGAAUCCCCUCCCUUUUUCAUGGCCACAUAUCUUUAUGGCUAAGGAGUGGGAAAUCUUUCUCCUGUUACACAAAUCAAAUGUUUCAUUUCAUCCGGGAAAAGCCACCUCUUUCUCCACAAACAAUGUCUUUGUCAUUUGAUCCUGUUUUUAUCCGUUAGAUAGGAACAUCUUUGCUAAAUACUGAGAACUCUCGGAUAGAGUAUUAGAAUGAAAAGACCAUUAAUUAUAUAAGGAAUAACCCAGGGUUCUAGCCCAUUCCCAUUCCUAAAUCAAUAAUUCGUAGUGCUUUUGUCUUUCUUGCGUACUCCUGGUGAACCAGUUGCUAGCCAUAUGUUUAGGAGGCUAUUUUCUCCUAUUAAGUAAGAUUCUUAAGCUUAAUAAGCCCAAAGAUCGAAAAGUACGAACCAUUUUGAAAUAAAACCGGACCAUUUGUAAAUCAAAAUAGAAAAAGAAAUCUAACUACUCUCUUCUCUGUCUCCUUCAGAAAAAGAAAGCUAAGGCAAUUGGUGUUGAAUAAACAAAACCACACCGAACCAGUCAGGAGUUUUCAGAGAUUAUGCCCAGCGUCACAUGACACCACUUCAUUGUAUGCAACACGAGGAACCGAUCAAGAAAGACGAAGCAGACAUGCACAAGUUCAAGAGCGAGGUCAAACAAGCAUGUAUCAAAACUGCAACGUGAUCAAGGCUGCAGCUGCUGCUGCGAGGACUAACGUCACAAGGGAAAUCCGGCAGGAACUGAAGGCCACCGAUCCCGACCGAUCGCGCGGCACGGACGUUGAAAGCUCCUCCAUAGUCGACGGGGGCACUUCACUUAUCCUGGGGAGGCAGCAGCAUGGACAUGCACAACUGAUUUCAAUUAGUACACACGAAGUAUGAUCAACGAUUCCGCAAAGAUAUUAAUUCUAGUGUAGUGUUCAAACGAUCAAAUGGAUGAGAUGAUCAACGAUUGCUCAGAUUAAAAAACUAGAAGGUACAGUUACAACUUAACAGAUCUGUGCACUCAGAGUUUGAGAAGACUAUAUAUAUAGCAUCCGCAUCACCAGGACACUCGAUACUGUAAUUAGUAGGCAGUUACAAGUUAAUAGAACAGAUGCUGUGAGUAGAAGAAUUGAAUCAAUAAUCAGUUUCAUCAUACAAUCAAGUUUGAAUCUGUAUUCAUGUAGCCCUAUAGCAGCAUAUAACAAGAAAUGGAGAGAACACCACAAGUGAAAAUAAAAAAAUUCCGUUUUGUUGUGGGCAGAUGAGCAGGGAUCAUAUGGUGCGAAAGCCGAAAUGGCCAAGAGUCUCUGAAUGGCAUUAGUGGCCGCAGAUUCACCGAAUUACUAGACAAGCAGAAAAACGUUUACCUGGAGACAUUUUAGGCGUGGGAGGUGAGUCAGGUGUGAAAUGCAUCUCCGGAAGCGACUUGAGCCCUGUUUCAAAUGGGGGGAAACAAAUAAAUGAAAAAAUAAAAUUGGUACAUUCAAAAGAACCGCUCAACUGAUCAGUAAUCAUGACCAACCAUAGCAAAAAAGCACAGUAAUAAUAUCCCUAAGAGUAGCAUCCAGAGCUCGCUGAUAAUCCGCAUCUACCACCAACCAUCACCAAUGUAGCUUCACAAGGACUCACAAGAACAAGGAUAGGAGCGCAUAAACUUAUUUUGUAACUUGUUCGGUGAUCAAGAACACACGCAUAGGGAGCACAAGAAUCGAUCGAGGCAUAUACUCGCCAUCAAGAAGGGACAAGUUUCUCCCCCUGGCCCUACUCCCCAACCAACCCACCGAAGUAACUCCAUACGUUCAUCAUCAUACAUUGCGUACCGUGCAUUUUUCCUCUUCCUUCCAUACUGUGCACGAGGCCUUUGGCUACUCAAUUUAUUUUCUUUUGCUGCUUCUCUAUUCUACAUAGACCCGGCAAUCUCCCUCCGACAAAAGCAUACUUUUUGAGUACUCUAAAGAAAUAUAGCCCAUUGGGAAGGCUUUAGGAUUAUGCUUACUCCUACUGUGGAGAAAACCACAGGAGUCCGACUACCAUUUCUUCGUAUGAAGUACGUACUUGUUCUUCACCGUGCAAGCUCUACAGGUUUCGGAAUCCGAGGCCUUCAAGUUCAACCGUAGAUGUAGAAGCAAACCGGUACUUAAGCAUCGAGCGAAUGAGAGACGAGUGAGAAGCCUUUAGCUCCUAGAAUGCCUUCUUCAACUUUUCUAUACGCAAUUCGUGCGCCAAAUAGAACUGCUAGACUACGUCAAGUUGUGACCACUCAUGCAUCUAAAGAGCGAGGCAAAGGGUAACACUAGGGCGGAGCUCCACCUUUUGUUCUUCCAGCUCGGACUCCUAAACUAGAAACUAUAUAAGAGGCACGAGAUGAUCAGGUGUGUGCACUAAAGCUCGACAUGAUGAAAGCUUAUGAGAACUUCACUGCUAUAGCUGAUACGGGAUCUAUUGACUUAUUUCUUGAAAUAGGGUUUUGUGACUACCAAAAGUUUCUCUUUUCAUGACACAGGGGGGGUCUCUGUGGCCCUAGUUUCUUUGGCCCAUUUGAAAUGAGCUACGAAUAGGUCCUACUUCAGACAAUCCUUCGUUGUCCCUUCAGAGGAGAUGAGUGGGAUGACGAAUGAGUUCUUUAAACAUCUCUAUACUGCUGAAGGUACUGAAAGAAUGGAGGAUGUUCGUUCUGUCGACAGUUCCUCGGAAAGUACCUCAAGCAAUGAAUGAGCAAUUGACUGCGCCCUUUACUGGUUCUGAAGUGUGACCUUUUUAAGAUGUACCCUGAAAGGCCCCUGGCCCGGACGGCUAUCCAGCCCACUUUUUUCAGCGAAGGUGGGAUUUCUAUGGUGAUGAGGUUAGUGACUUCAGUUACCUUCUCGGUUCUUUUCAAUGGGGAGCGUCUUGAGGAAUUCAAACCUUCUCAGGGACUACGCCAGGUGAGGGAGUCCUGGACUAGGGGGUGUCCGGAUAGCCAGACUAUCAUCAUCGGCCGGACUCCAAGACUAUGAAGAUACAAGAUUGAAGACUUCGUCCCGUGUCCGGAUGGGACUUUCCUUGGCGUGGGAGGCAAGCUUGGCGAUACGGAUAUGUAGAUCUCCUACCAUUGUAACUGACUCUGUGUAACCCUAGCCCUCUCCGGUGUCUAUAUAAACCGGAGGGUUUUAGUCCAUAGGACGAACAACCAUUACAACAAUCAUACCAUAGGCUAGCUUCUAGGGUUUAGCCUCCUUGAUCUCGUGGUAGAUCCACUCUUGUACUACCCAUAUCAUCAAUAUCAAUCAAGCAGGAGUAGGGUUUUACCUCCAUCGAGAGGGCCCGAACCUGGGUAAAAACAUCAUGUCCCUUGUCUCCUGUUACCAUCCGCCUAGACGCACAGUUCGGGACCCCCUACCCGAGAUCCGCCGCUUUUGACACCAACACCAGGGAGAUCCAAUCGCUCCGUACUUAUUCUUGUUAGCAGCAGUUUAGGUAUUCGAAAUAGCGAAAUACAUAAAUUACCUAUCUCAAGUACGUCUCAUACUUAUCUUGAGCCAUCAGUCAGAUUGAAUGCAGCACCCUGCCGGCAGCUCCUGACCUCUGUUCCUAUGGGGGAAAGAAGGUGUGGCUUUGGACCCCAAACUCUUCCAUGACGCCCUUCUUCUUAUAGCGUCGGUAAGUGAUCAAUACAGACAAAAAUCACACCCAUUGGAUCCAUCCUGAUAUGAUUGGGGGAUUUGCACGUUCCCUUAAGAACAAGCACACACACACACUAAAUCCUGAAAAGAAAGAUAGAUGCUCAUCUUCACACUGAUAGCAACAGGCUCACUACGUACGUUGUCCAACCCACCUCGUAAGACAUCUUUCCUCGGAUAGCCAAGCGAAAGAGGAGGUCUCAAGCAUGCAAAAACACAUGUAUGAGCAGGAAAAGAUGUGCAAUCAAGCUCAGAGACUGCAGAUAACGGAUCUCUCAGGCACCGGUUUCCCUCAGUUCAGGAAGGGAAGCGAGCUUUCAAGGGUCCAAGGAUAAAAAAGGUAAUUAAUAUGUCUCCGACCGAAGUGAUAGAUAAAGGCUUUACCCAUUGGCAAGGAACGCUUGGAGGAGUGAAACAACGAUUCCGCCUAGCGUAGGACACGUAUAUUUGAUCCAAUCUAGCAAGCGUAGCCAUCCCCACCCACGGGUGAAAUUAUACAGCUCCCUAUCUCGUUGAAAGCCCCUUUGCUUACGGAAGAGAAGAGUUGGAUGCCGUGGUGGUAAAGCUCCCGUUUCAACUUUGCUUCUUGUAAGCUUCGGUAUAAAUAGCUCACUUGCGGGAUCUAAUCUCAUUCUAUGGGAACAACUUUCAUUUCUAUCUUUUGGCUUAAAGUGGUGAAUACAUCCUUUCUCUUCACUUUUUGUGCUCCGCAUGGCUCCGGUCAAGAUGUGACUCAUCCUGUAUAUACAUAAUUAGGAGACCUCUCAUGAACUUGUUAAAGAAAGGAGUAUCAUUUGUGUGGACAAGCCAAAGCAAUCCUUUGAUGUUCUCAAGCAAGCUUUAAUUGAGGCCCCUGUGUUGGUUCUCCCUGAUUUCAGUAAAAGAUUUGUGCUAGAGACAGAUGCCUGUGGGCAUUGGAGCUGUGAUAAGGGGUAGAAGUAUUCGUGUGGGGUGGGUUUCGAAGGGAAGGUUGCACAAUAGAUCGGAGAUCCUUUGAGGAAGACUGAAAUGACUAUACUUAUAGAAUGGUCCAUAUCGAACAGAUACAAUACUGGUUUACACAGAGAAUAUCGCCUAGCUCUAAAACGGCAGCACCUGAGUGCAACUUAGAGUAAGAAAGAACGACCUUCUGCUACCUUUUUACCGGGGCAUUGUUUUAACAACUUUAGCUAAUUGAUCUACGAAUGGAGGGAUUCAAGCUUAUUUUUGUUAACCGAGAUGCAAACGACUAACAAACUGGAUUCGAAGCCACCUGUCGUAAUAGUACCUGCGGGUUCUUUCUGUGGAGCCUUCAAAUGCAAUAGCUAGCUGCCCAACGGCCAAUGCCACAGGCAAAUCUCCAUUUUCCAACUUAUACAACUCUUUGGGGUCCAAAGAUACUCGCCAUUGCAACUUAAUAAAUAGGACCGGUGGGAUCGCCUUCAACAGAUAUAUCGGUUUCACUGCUUUCGUACCCUUUGUUUUGGUCAUGUGGAUGACCCGCAGACCGUAGAUAAGAUGGAUACCCAUGUACUGCCUUCAAUGAAGAGAGUUUUACCAAGGACCCUUAGACAGAUAGGGGGGACAGACAAGAGGUAUGCAACCUGCUGAAUAUUGUCACCGAAUCGCUCACUGACAAAUACUUGGGGCUCCCCUCCCUGGUAGGAGUCGAUAGGAGCGACUGCUUCCAACACUUAAUUGAGAGAGUUUGCACUCGGAUUAAUGGCUGCAAAGAGGACGGGCUAAUUGGCUCCGCCAUGGAGACCGAAAUACGAGCUUCUUUCAUCACAUCAUUUUGCAACAGAGAAAAAAGAAGAACAUAAUAAAGUUUCUGAAUGACUCAAACGGCAACAGGAUCGAAGGUAAUGAUCAGUUAGCAUCUCUGAUACAGGGUUACUUUGAGGGACUGUUCACCUCAGAAGUCCUAGCUCCCGACCCUGGGCUACUGGGGAAAGUAAACAGGCGAGUAACUGAAGAAAUGAACGCAAGCCUCUUGGCUCCGUUCACGGCAGAUGAAGUAAAGGCAGCACUCUGAAUUCAAUCGAGAGUUAGGUACAGUAAUAUUCAGAUAUGGCAAUACCUCCCCCAAAGCAUUGUCAAGUGUUGGAAUUAGGGCACCAACCACGAAUAGGAGCUGUAUAGAACUCCGGAAAGAGACCUUUGAUGAAGUCGACAUCCUCCCAAGUGGCAUUUGCUUGAUCCAAACUAGCCCACUUCCUUGGUUGCUGAAAAACCAUGCAACGCAAGUAAUUUUCCACACACUGAUUCACACGUUCUGUCUGGCCAUCUGAUUGUGGGUGAUAGGCAGAGCUAAACCUCAAUUUCACUUGCAGUGCUUUGAAGAAAGCCUGCCACAUGUUACUUGUGAAUAUCCAGUUUCUAUCAGAGACUAAUGACUUUGGAAAUCCAUUCCACUUAAAAACAUUAUCCAUGAAAGCAUGAGAGACUGAUUGUACUGUAUAAGGGUGAGCAAGGGGAAUGAAAUGAGAAUAUUUAGUGAACCUGUCCACCACCAACAAUAUGACUUCUUUGCCCAAUGGUUUGGGAAGACCCUCAAAGAAAUCCAGGGAGAUGUCAGUCCAAGCAGAAGUAGGUAAUGGCAGUGGAUCUAGGAGACCAGGGUAGUGGCAAUGCUCUCCCUUGACUCUUUGGCAAAUUGCACACUCAUGUAGAAAAGUUUCAAUCUCCUGGCCUGGCGCCAAUCAAAUAGCUUUUUUACCCUUUGAUAAAUAGCCACAAUGCCUGCAUGGCCUCCUAUGGGAGAGUUGUGAAGUGAAUCAAUGAUUUGGUGUUUAAGAACAACAUCUGAUCCCACAUAUAUUCUUCCUUUAUAUCUCAAAAUGCCAGAAUGAAGAGUCUAAGGGGGUGCUGCAUUGGCUGAUACAGUGAGCUUCUCAAGCAGAGAUUUGCAGUGAUCAUCAUUAGUGUAGCUGGUUUCUACAGUUGAAGCCCAAGCAGGAGUAACUAUAGUGACUGCCAUCAUAAGAGAAUCUCUUCUGCUCAAAGAAUUUGCAACCUUGUUUUCUUUUUUUUGUAUUCAAUCUUGUAAUUGAAUUCAAGCAAUUUUCACAUAAGCUUGUGCUAGAUGCCCUCAGAGACUUUUUGUUCUGUGAUGUAUUUGAGGCUCUGUUGAUCAGUUUUGAUCAAUAAAAGAAUUGGGAACCAAGAAAGUAGUGGCGCCAUCUCUUCAAGGAUUCACAAAUAGCUAAAGCUUCUCCUUAUCAUAAGUUGACAUAGCUGCAUUUCUGGGUCCAAGGGUUUUACUGAAAUAAGCAAUUGGUCUGCCUUGUUGCAUGAGGACAGAACCAAUACCUUGACCUGAUGCAUCUGUUUAAAAAGUAAAUGGUAGGGUCAAAUCAGGCAAAGCCAUAACAGGAGCACUGACCAGACAAUUCUUCAAUGUUGUGAAGGCCUCAAUUUGAGCAUCUGACCACUGGAAUGAUUCUUUUUUUAGACAGUCAUGAAGUGGCCUAGAAUUUAUCCCAUAAUUCUUGACAAAUCUUCUUUUUCUGCAGCCAUACCAAGAAAACUCCUCAACUGAGUGAUAGUCUUAGGUGUUGGCCAUUCUUUGAUGGCAACUAUUUUGUGGGGGUCUGUAGAUAGACCCUAUCCUUAGAUAACAUGCCCUAAAUACUCCACUUGAGGGACAGGAAAACUGCAUUUGCUAAUCUUAGCAUAUAGUUUUUAUGACCUUAGAAUGUCCAGGACUAACUUGAGAUGCUUGAGAUGAGCUUGUUUGGUCUUGCUAUAUAUCAGAAUAUCAUCAAAGAAUACCAAAAGGUAUUUCCGGAGCAAAAACAUGAUUCAUUAAAGAUUGGAAGGUAGCAGGUGCAGUAGUGAGUCCAAAUGGCAUCACUAAGUAUUCAUAAUGACAAAAAUAUGUCCUAAAAUUUUGGAAUGUCUUCUCUUCUCAUUCUUAUCUGAUGAUAACCUGAUCUCAAAUCAAGUUUGGAAAAGAGUUGUGCACCAUGUAGCUCAUCUAAUAGAUCCUUAAUGACAGGAAUAUUGAAUUGAUUUUCUGCACUUAACCCGAAAGCAAGUUUGAAAACAAGACCUGCUCUGUGAAGUGAUGGAAGUAGUGAAGGUUUAGGCUUCGGAUCUGUGAAGUUCAGGUUUUGGAGUAGAGGUCAGAGGCUAGUGCGGGUAGCCCUGUCGGAAACUAGAAAGAAGAGGAUGAUGCACCUGCCCGGUGGUGGGUGGGUUCAGCUCAAUCAACUGGGAUAGGAGUUUUUUCUCUAUCUUGCUCCAUGGUGUUCAAGCAGUGCGUCCAAAAAGCUGUGAUUCAUGGGAGGGAGCAGCUUCAAUAGCUUUGGCUGUGAAAACUCUUGGUCUUGGAGCAUCAGUGUCAUCAGUUCACCCAAGAUCAGCAGGACAAAUAACUACUAGGUUUGUGCCAGAAAAGCAUCUUGCAUGACGGGGAAAGAGUGGAAAAAGAAAGAGAUUCAUCAGCUAUGGAAUCUGACAGGUAUCGGUAUUGAAUAGAGGGGGCUGUUCACAAAGCAUCCCAUGGAUGGUAAUGGUGCUUCCCCAGCUGUUGUUCCUACUCCUUUGGCUGGUGCCAAAUCAGGUGACUUUGAAGUUGAAGCUUGCCCACAGAACGAUGUAACCAUGCUGGUAGUACUAUGAUUGCCUUAGAGUGCAGAUGUCUCUGUCCCUAGGAACGUGAUGCUUAGGUGCGAGGUGAAACACAAGCAGGAGAUCGAGAAAAGAAAUCAUACGGAUUGCAACCUACAGAUGAAGAAUCUGCUUCAUUGUUCCCACCAUCUAUAUCAGAUGUUUAAUAAGAAUAGGAAUCGAAUAAGCUGCUGAUUGACUGAGGAAGCAUUUGAAAAGAAAGGAAGGGUGAUGCUUGUUAAACAAAGCUGCGUGUGGGGCCGCCACGUAUAGCUGUAGUUUCUGUUGUAGCAUCGGUUAUUUCCGUUAUUGCUGUAGUAGCAUCGGUUAUUGCUCAGGUUAUGAAUGACCCAAUCUAUCUAUGGCAACCACCCCUACUUUUAGUAGAUGGAGAUGCGCACCUAGAAAAUACGGAUGAAAGAGAACCUGCCCUUCUGACUUCUUCUCUUGUCUGUCCUUUACGCAAAGCGAUCUAUGGUCUCAACAAGCCCCGAUAGCGUCGGUUUUUGAAGUUCAGCACAGUGGUUAUGUUAUCCAGGCAGGGUUUGCUCGGAGUGAUCAUGAUUCGGCCAUGUUCGUAUCAGUUUAUUCUCGAGGACGUUCUAUUCUAUUGUUGUAUGUUGAUGAUAUCAAACUGACUGGUGAUUACUCCGUUACCAUAUCGCUGAUCAAGUGUCGCCUUCAUCAAUUAUUUGCUAUGAAGGCACUGACGCGCCCUAAGCCUUUUCUUGGCUUGGAGGUCGCACAUUCUCCUCGUGGAUAUUUGGUAUCUCAGAUCAGAUAACGUCAUGACUUGAUCACUCAAGCUCAACUCAAUGAUGAGAAGACUGUUGACACUCCCUUGGAGCUUUACGUUAAACUCCGUCUGACUGAUGGCUCACCAUUAUCUGAUCCGACGCAGUAUAGACAGUAGGUCGGCAUUUUGGUUUAUCUGACGAUCUCUUGCCCAGAUGGCUUUUCCUAAGAAAGUCAGCCUUUCAUGGCUGCCCCCCGGUCAGUUCACUUUGCAGCAGUUCAUCGGAUUCUUAGAUAUAUUCAAGGUACCUUUUCUCGAGCCGUCCUUUUUUCGUCAUUGUCUUCUUUAGAGUUGCGUGCAACUACUGAUGCCGAUUGGGCCUUCAGAUAGGUGCUCAACUACAGGCUUAUCUAUUUUAUGGGGAGACGAGACACUAUCUUGGAUGAGAUAAAAGCAAUAGAUAGUUGCUCCUUCCACUGCCGAAGCGGAGUACCGUGCCAUGGCACACUACUAGAUAGAUUGUAUGGCUCCGUUGAUGACUUUCUAAUCGCGGGUUUCAUUUGAAAAAACCCAACGCCAUUCAUCUUGCGUCAAAUCUGGUCUUUCAUGCAAGAGUUUAAUUUUUGGCCGCUACUACGUUCGUCGAAAACUUCUUGAUGGCACCAUCAUCUCAUUACCUUAUUUUUUCCCUUCGACUUCGGCUAUGACCAAUGCCCCACCUAGUUGAAUAGGCGUAACAAAGCUACCUGAAAAAGGCAAGGUGCACCUUAGAUUGAAAUCGACAAAUUGCGUUUUGCCAGAUGGAUUCUUUAGAAAGAUUCCUGGAUAAAGUUCAGUAGAAUAUUUAGUUAGAAUCUAAAUAAAGGCGCAUACGUGGGCGGGCAGGGGGCCCCACUACUUCUUCAUUCAGGGGGGGCUAGCCUCAUGACUUCCCACUGGGCGAGGGGUGCACCUAACCCACCUACUCACUCAUCAAUUACGGUGUUCAGCUGACUUGCACAGAAAGACCCCUAUUGUUUAGUAAUUUGGCGCCCCAUCUUUUGAUUGACAGUUGUCAACUAAUCAUUUCAAUGUUCAAUUCUACUCUAUGUUAGAACAUUUCUAUGAAUGCUAUUUCGAUCUAAGUGGUCCUAUUCUCUGACCCAUGCUAGGAAGCAUUACUCCUCUUUUCAUUCCAAAUUCUUCAAUAAGACCGAUACGAUUGAUUGGUCUGUGCGUUUCUCUUAUUACUUUUUUGUAUCCCCCUGUUCCUCGGAUACAAUUCGAUCCUUCUACGGCCAAAUCUCAAUUUGUGGAAAGCAUUCGAUGGCUUCCUUAUGAAAACAUCCAUUUGUAUAUGGGUAUAGACGGUCUUUCAUUAUUCUUCGUGAUAUUGACCACAUUUCUGAUCCCUGUUUGCAUUUCAGUGGGUUGGUCUGGUAUGAGAAGUUUUGGGAAAGAGUAUAUUACAGCAUUUCUAAUUCGUGAAUUUCUAAUGAUCGCCGUGUCCUGCAUGCUGGAUCCUCUACUAUUCUAUGUUCUUUCCAAAAGCGUGUCAAUCCCUAUGUUGUGCGGAGCUGAGCAUCUUCUAUUCGCUGGGAUCAAGCUUUUCCUCUGUAGGGGCCUUGUGCAGUAAACCCCCUACGGGCGGUCCCCCGUCGUCGUAAAGUAGUAAAGGUCCUCGCGAAGCUUUCGAGAAGAGGGGUAGUCUUGUGCGUAAGCAUAGCAUUUCUGGUCGAACCACCGAACCACACAUCUUUUUUUGGUGGGAGGGUACUCCGAGUAGUGGGUACCUCGUAGGACCUCGACCCGCCUACUCAGGUCUUGUAUGGAUAUGCAGGAAGGGGUGCUCCUAGGUGUGUGUAGGGGGUGUGUUUGUUCACGAGAAUGAAUUCCUCGUCAAGUCAGGGGGGGUGUGGACACACUUGCGCGAAUUCGGGUAACGGCUACAAGGGAUAAAAAUAAAGGAAAUUGUACCCGACCAGGGAUGGACGUAAACUCGUAAGCUACCGAGGGUAGGGAUAAUCGUCCAGGUCUUAUUAAAAAAAGCCGCCCCGCCACUGCAGGCAGGUUAGUUCCUCUGUCGUUGCCGGAGAGUUCUUGGCGAAGAGACCUUAGGAUAAGUUGCUAAAACAAACGGAGGGGAGGAUCAACCCGUUCAGUAGAAUUCCGAAGAAAGACUAUUGGCAGCAGGUGGAGACAUUUCUUUGGCCCCCUUCCAAAUAAAUGCGGGCAGGGUAGAGCUCGGCAGAGGGUUCGAGAAUAGGGUAGGGUUUUUUACGGUCGGGUCCCCUACCAGUAGUCCGGCUAGCCUUCUUUCAGGCAGGAAGCAGGCCUAAACGACGGGCGGGCAUCUCCCGCUACGCAAGCAGCAUUGUUCGCCACCACCCGAGAAACAAAAGAUUCGAGAGUCAAGGCGGAAAAGACAAGCAUAGUGGUCUAAUGACAAGGGCUGACGACGGAAGCUCGGGAUGGAGCCGUAUGAUGCGGAAGUCUCGCGUACGGUUCCCUGAGAAGGGAGUGGCUACCCACUGGAGCUUCGACCAACUACCACCGGUCAAUUCCGCUUUGGGGCCACCCCUGACUCUACCAUCAUUAUAGGGGUAUGGGGUUUGAGACAAAGAAAGAUCAAGGCAGCAUAUCAGUUUUUCCUAUAUACUUUACUUGGAUCCGUUUUUACGCUAUUAGCUAUUCUGUUGAUUCUUCUCCAAACAGGAACCACCGAUUUACAAAUUUUAUUAACCACUAAAUUUAGUGAGCGGCGCCAAAUCCUUCUAUGGAUUGCUUUUUUUGCCUCUUUUGCCGUCAAAGUGCCUAUGGUACCAGUUCAUAUUUGGUUACCCGAAGCCCAUGUAGAGGAACCUACGGCUGGAUCCGUCAUCUUGGCUGGAAUUCAUUUAAAAUUGGGAACCUACGGGUUUUUAAGAUUUUCCAUACCCAUGUUUCCCGAGGCGACACUUUUUUUCACUCCUUUCAUUUAUACUCUAAGCGCGAUUGCUAUAAUAUAUACUUCCUUGACCACUUUAAGACAGAUCGAUCUUAAGAAGAUCAUUGCCUACACCUCAGUAGCCCAUAUGAAUUUGGUGACUGUUGGUAUGUUUAGUCGGGCGGCGGCCGUUAGGUCACCUAUUUUGAGUUAUGGACACACAAGCAAGGCCAAAACAUGUGUGUCGGGCGUGCAACCCAUCAACCUACUAGCAAUAGGGGAGAAAACUUAGCAUGUCGCAACAAAAGCGUCGAUUCGAGGCGUCAGCAAAACACCGCCGUCUAUUCCUAAAAUAAAACCCCUUAGCGCCCCGGGACGGGAGUGGGGGACGGCCCUACGCAGACAGCAGCAGCACCGGCUCUACGAAGUUCGUAUCGAAUCUUUCGGUUGGCUUUCCCAUGAAUAAGAAUUGUUGGGCGCGGCGAAGCGAGCGCUUCUAGCUGUUUCGCUUGCUUCUUUCUUAUUGUGGCGGCUAUUAUGGCGUGGCCGAAAUGAACGAAAAGCGAGAUGAUUCAAAUCGAUUGAUAGAUGGCCUGAUCUGUUCUGAUAGAUCGAAAGGUUUUCUAUCAAUAAUAAGGGUUGACCUCUUUCUAUCUAUUGAUGAUACAAGAUAUCUAUCUAUUCUGGAUCCAUCAGAAAGAAAUCGAUAUGUAUCUUAUUUUUUCUACAUCGUAUGUAGAGCGCCCAAGCGUUUGGCCAGCUCAGUUCUAUUAUCCAUCGGUCCAAUGCACUGGCUCAUCUCAUGGAGGGAAAAAGCAAAUGUAGUUAGUUGUCUUGUUGUUGUUCGCCGCCUCGACACAUUCCCCGGCAUCGUCCCACACAGAAAGAAAGAGCGUGGAGCCCCGGCCUGACCUGUAAGUCUGCUAACGUAAAGCGAGGAGUUGAGCCUGAACUGGCAAACCAAAGUCACUUUCGUAACGAUACUUCCUACCGCUAACACGUGUCCAGUCCAGCGGGAACGCGAAGCGCAAACGAACGUGAGCUGCUAUACCGAAUCCCCCGCUGGCCAUCGGGGACCUAGUGGUAAGGCCAUGAUCCGCAGGGGAAGGGAUCACUCAUUCUUCUAUUGGGGACAGGUGCACGAACGACAACUCCAAACGUCAGACAUCCGCCGCCUAUACCUACCGUUUAGGUGGCACCAGCGAGAUCCAGCUAAGGUAAGGAACUUCGUGUCGCGGCUGCUCCACUCUGCUGUGGUCUUUUGAACUGAACUUCUUGCCUUCCCGCGCGAAAUGAAUGGGCGCUGUGUCGUGGGUAAGUUUUGGGGCGGGGGGCAGAGAGAGACCAGAAGAAUGAUUCAUUUGGAUCGACGAGCCAUUUCGCGAAUCAAUAGAAUGUCUCUCUAUCCAUAUCUAUUCUAUCUUUAUAUGACGGGCCAUAAAAAAAGAAGUAUUUUUUAUGGCAUGCGGGAAACACCUUGUCCGAGUCAGGCGAUGCUAAAGGAUGGAUUAAAAAACUCAUGGAUGCUAUCUCUGUUAUUGUUGCUUAAUGCCCUAUUUAUACCGAUCUAGCUUAUAGCUGGGAUUUCUAGAAAGAUAAGCUCAUGCAGCCCUCAGGGAUGGAGUGCCUAAACUAACCUUCCUGAACAGAAGUAGCAGAGGUAGAAGAUAUGUAAAUCAUACCAUCAAGGGGAAAUGCACUAUGAUUAUGCUUGGGCCAGGUUAGCUGAUCAAGGGAAUAUUCCUAUCGGAAGAACAAUCAGAAAAUAAGGAGAUAGUCAGUUGGCACUUUUCACACAAGAACCGCUUUUCGUAUUAAGCACGGGAGUCGUAAGGAAAGACCUCUGCGUAGCUAUCAGAACGAAUUAAUGAACGAAAUAAACGAAUUCCGGUGAAACCAAGGCGAAUUUCUGAGCCAGCGGUGAGAAAAAGAUGCCAAGUAUUGAGAUGCAACAUUAUGAAUGGUGCGAUCCGAAGUCUUACUAUUUACUCAAAAUUGACUCAAAUGGUUGACUGAACUUCACAGAGGACUAAAGCCGGGAACUUAAACUAAUGGUUUUGCCUUUCCACUUCCCAAUUGACUCUCAUAAAAGGCUAGGCUACCUCUUCACAUCGCACCUGAUCCCGAAUCAUGUGCUCUGUUCAGGGGAUCAAUAGUGGCUAUUAAGCUUUUCCCUUUCUAUAUAUUCUUGAGAAUAAGUAAAUACCAUCCUUUUUCCUAUCAGCAUCUCUCUAUCUGACAGUAAAUAUUGCUUUCAAUCGAUCAGGCACUAGGUUAUUAAAGUAUGGAUAUGCCAUAUAAUAAGGGAAAAGGCCUCAAGUUUUUUUUAGCGCAAAAGAAAAGCCGAUUCCAAAUUUUCUAUUUCCCGGCAAGUCUAUGAGAGUCCUAUUACGGAUCCUCUGAUCUUUAGCUUGAAUGGUCGUGUUUUUAUAUAAUUAGAUCUUUCUUCUGAGCUCUUCUAUUACGGUACGGAAAAAUCAAACCUAUCACUCUCAAAGAAUGGGUAAGAAGAAUUCAAGCUAGGGGAGCCUACACUCUCUAACUACCUAUACUACGCCCCCAUUGAUUGGAAACCCUCGGGGAAAAUGAUCCCAUAAACAAAGGAAUUAUAUAGUACGAAAUAGCAAAAAAAACCAGACUAAUUCUAUUCUAAAAAAUCGAUAAUAGAUAUUUUAUUCUGCUUAAAUUGUCCCGACAAGGAGAGAAAUUCAAUAUUUGAAUCAGAUUGGAUUUCGUAGUAUACCAAUGUGAGCCAAACUAUUACUAUUUCAUCUAACUUGAAUAACCAAGGACUGAAUUUGACUAUGGAUUCUGAUAACUCGAGAAGUUUUUAUUUGGUUAUGAUCCAAAAAGAAAAAAGAAAGGUUUAACAAGCCAUGAGAAAAUAGAGUAAAGUAACCAUACCUUCUGUUUGCAUAACGUGUAUACGCCACGCCAUACAAUCGAAAUAGAAACAUGGGACGAUUCCAGAAUUUUGAAUAGAUCCAUGGGGAUGAGAGAAGUUGUUGUUGAGAAAUAUGAAAUUGGAAAGGAAGUCAAACUCCCUAUGGAACCUGUGAUCGGUUGUACCUGUACUUUAGUGAUACGAAAACUCGCUAUUCACUCAGUUUCUGGUCAAUAAUAAGAUUAUGUAGGAGAGAUGGCCGAGUGGUUCAAGGCGUAGCAUUGGAACUGCUAUGUAGGCUUUUGUUUACCGAGGGUUCGAAUCCCUCUCUUUCUGUUUGUGUUAAUUCACCAAUGUUACCGACCACAAUGAAAUUUCUAGUAAGAGGAAAAUCCGUUGACUUUCUAAAUCGUGAGGGUCAAGUCCCUCUAUCCCCAAUAAAAAGCCCAUUUUACUUGCUAACUAUUGUACCAACCUCUAUUUUUCAUUAAUGGUUCAAACAAGAUUCACUAUCUUUCUUAUUCUACUCUUUCACAAACGGAUCCGAACUGACUUUUUUGGAUCUUAUCCCAUUCAUACAAAUGAACAUAUUAUAGUAUAGGCAAGUAAUCCCUAUUAUUAAGUACUUCCUCCGUCACAGUUUAGAAGGCACAGUUAAAUUUGCGUGCGUUUCCACAAUAGACAAGGUUUAGGACGCAUUGCAUUUAUUUCUAGUAGCUAAUUAGUACUCCAGAGUACUAUUUCUAUAUGCAUGCGUAGUGUGAAUGCUAUUUUUUAGCCCGUCUCACAACCAAUAGAAAACCACCUAGGUCCCAGAGAAUUUCCAAGCGCGCCUUCUAAACCGUGACAGAGGGAGUAAGUCAUUCACAAUCCAUAUCAUUAUCCUGAUAUUUACUAAGUCCAAUUUGAGAAUACUUUUUUCUUUUUGAGUCCCUUUAAUUGACAUAGAUACAAGUACUCUACUAGGAUGAUGCACAAUAAAUAGUCAGGAUAGCUCAGUUGGUAGAGCAGAGGAUUGAAAAUCCUCGUGUCACCAGUUCAAAUCUGGUUCCUGGCACAGAACGAACAAUGAAUGCCUUUUCGGGAAAGAAAAGGGCCACAUAUUUUUUAUAGGGAAAAGCUUUUUUUAAGGGGAAGGAUCAUCAACAAAAAAUCCAGGAAAGAACAGCGAAGGAAAAACGUGAAAAACAAGUGUUUUCCCGGAACGGAAUAGCAAAAUUCCACACGUUGAUCACCAAUGUUGCAUGUCUUUCCUUAAGCUGGAGUAAUUUGAGUUAGAAGGCCUACUUUAUUCGUCCUUUUAAAGCCUACUUAUUUGUCUAGCUAUUUCCAAUUCUAAUAAAUAACCCGAUCAUAUCAUAUCUUGGAAAACCCUAAGACUACCCAAGGUUGUACCCUACAGUGUUACCUAUAGUCUAUACUUGUGUAUACGUUGCCUUCUGGGGUGGCAAGCUAGAACCAAGUUUUCUAGGUAUCAAUUCCAAUUUAAGUCAAUGAUCCUCAUUUUCUCCAACAUUAAGAAGAUUAUUGGUAAGGUGACCAACCAUCACGCAGGAUUCCGGGUCGGAGUAGCACCUCUUGCCUGAUAUAUACAGGUCGUUACUAGUGAUUCGUUUGUGCCCUAUGGUGUUCAAUUGCCCAUUUGUUCCCUCCCCCUCGGGAUGGGUCAACCUACUUUGCCUGCUCAGGCGCUCCAAAAUGCUCUGACUAGGCCGCCGACACCCAUGAUUUGUCCAUCAUUCAAAAUGGCAUUUCGUAAGGGCUCAUAAGGUAGGAGGAAUCACAGAUCCUCCAUGCACUUUCGCCUAGAGUUAGUUUUAUUUUUCACUACUGUCUGAGUGGUGGCUAAACCCUGAAACUUUUCCUUGAAAUGAAAUAAAGAUCUAACUUUAUUCCAGUAGUGGUUUCCGCAAAUGUAGAUAAUCUUGUUGAUUAACACCCACUUUCCAUACCCUGCAAUUCAGAGGC